GCGCGGGAAAAAGGUUUGACCAACAUACCCACCAGUCAUGGCCCUACGGACAUUGGUCUCAAACAGCUUAGGGUUGUCCCUUAAAACUUGUGCUGCAUCAUGGUUCAAUGGAUCUUCAGAAUUUGGUUCCUGUGUGAAAAAAAAAAACACUCAGUUUAAGAGAAUCAGAUAAUAACACAAACACUAAGCCUGAUUGAUGUAUGAGGCUUACCGUGAAAAGAUGAAAGAGUCCAUAGAUAACAGUGUUGAUGUUAAGAACAGGUUUCCAGUCUUCACGUAAGAUGUUCAAGCACACAUUUCCUUCCAAAUCGAUAUUGGGAUGAUAAACCUAUAAAGAGAAAACAAAUAUAUAAUACUCCAAGUAGAAGAUAGAAACUAUAAGGUAGCCUACCUUGGUUUUGCAUUUAACUUUAGGAGCUUCAUGUGGAUACACAGGAGACACUUGGAACGUGAAAACAAAUGUACCAUUACUGCAUCAUUCACCAAGAAAUAAAGAAAUGAGUUUGUUCCAAGUGUAAGCAUGAGAUAUGUAAAAGACUCCACUUAACUGGUAGUAACCAUCAUCGGGUUUAAUGGAGACUUCAAAGUUCAUCAAAUCAUCUUUGCCAUUAGGGAAAGAUAUCGUACACGAGCUUGGAAGGUUCAACUCUGAUAUAUCUACACCAAAUCAAAAUUACCGAAAGAUUAAAACUUGAAGAAGAGAGAGACCAUUAGCAAUAAGAAAGAGAAAUAUAAAAGGGAAUAAUACCUUUGUGAAGACGAAGUUCACCAGCAGAUUGCUUCUUAACAGAAGCUCCUCCUCCUCUACUAGCGUUCUGAGCUUGUUCUCUUUGCUUUUCCUUUACUUUAAACAACCCAAUCAUUGCUUCUGCUUCUGAUGACCUCUUUAAGAAAGCUGUGACAAAUAAAGGAAUGAACAAUGAGUUGGAUUUGACCAAAAAAAAAAAAAAAAAAGAACAAUGAGUUGGUAAGAAAGCUAUUAGAAUUUCAGACAAUAGAUCGAAACACUUGAAGAUCCAGAAAGGAUUAGGCUUUAAUCUAGUUAAGAGCUCAAAGAUCGAAACUUUCCUACAUAAAGUCACAUAAUGAGUCGAAAAAGGAAAUACAAAUAAAAAACUGAAAUUUUCUACAUAAUGAAUAACGAGAGAAGCUUACAAGUUGAUAAUUUCGUUGAUCGGAACUAGUUACGACUGAAUCAAAAGCUCGCCGAAUCUCGUCCCCGGAAGCUAAACGACGAACAAGACUGACACAAUCGUUUAGCUUUUUCUCGACGCUGAGUUUAAAACGAAAUCUUUACACAACUCGGCCCAUUAAGAUCACUAGGCCCAUUAGAUAUGUUUUACCAAUAAGUUUGGUACUUUGCAUGUUAUUAUGUCUUCAAUUAUGAUUUUACAAAGCCUAAACACAUUUCAGAACUCACAAUUGUCCAAAGGGGAUAUGACGUUUCAUGCCAAUUAUAAAGUAUAAACCAAUUUAGAAUGAACUAUUCUUUUAUGACCUUCCCCACCAAAACGUUUCUUUCAGGUAUUUAAAAAACCUGAAAGAGUAAAAAAUACUGUUAAAGCACAAACAUGUGUAUUGUCGCCUCGUUGGGUUUUAAUAUUUUGUUCCGAUCAUUCUAGAGAUAGUAAUAUGCCUAUUCAAAUUUAAAAUCAAUAUUCAAAACUGUGACGUGUGUUCAACUUAUCACAUGGAAAAUUAUUGGAUAAAAUUUGACUCUAGUUAGUGGAUAUCAGUUAUACUUUAUUCUUCACAAGCUUAUAAAAUUAUAUACAAUUAACAUGAGUUGCUAACUAAUUAUAUUAGUAUUUAACUAAUUUUUUUAAAAGUUUUCAUACUAAAAUAUUUUAUUAAGAGAUUCAUAUUGGAUACAUAAUGUCUUCUUCUUAUAAUAUUUUUAUCCACAAAAGAAAAUUAAAAUAAAGAUUUUGGAUGAAAAAUAAACGUGACAAUAGUUCUAUUUUACAAAAUUUGCUAAACAAUGGAAGUGCAGAAGAAUAUGCUUUCUAAUAUAAUAAAACAUAUAUACAUCGUCAUCUCCAUCCCUAAACCCUUUAUAAUGCUUUACACUCUAGUAAUAAGUAAUAACCAACCCAACUCUUGUUUUACAAUUACAUAUUCUUAAGAAACCACAAUGGCUUCAAUGACUCUUGGUUCAUUGGUUCACCAUCACCAUCACCAUCAUCCAUCUCCUUGUUCUAUCUUUACCCGAUCUUCUUCCUUCAUGACUCUUAAACCCAUCGUCAUCAACUCAAAACGCACCGUUUCAUCAUCAUCUUCCUACAUCGUCUCCUCUUCCGUCGUCACAAAAGAGGACAACCACAAUUACAAAUCACCAUCCUUCGACUUCAUGUCUUACAUGGUACGUAAAGCCGAAACCAUCAACACAGCCUUGGACUUGGCCGUUCCUCUCCAAGAACCACUCAAGAUUCACGAAGCCAUGCGCUACUCCCUCCUCGCCGGAGGCAAGCGCAUCAGACCCCUUCUAUGCAUCGCCGCUUGCGAGCUCGUCGGAGGCGAAGCCCCCGUCGCUAUGCCGGCAGCUUGCGCCGUCGAAAUGCUCCACACCAUGUCGUUGAUCCACGACGACCUCCCGUGCAUCGAUAACGACGAUCUCCGCCGCGGGAAACCCACGAACCACAAAGUCUUCGGCGAAAACGUCGCCGUUUUAGCCGGAGACGCGCUUCUUCCCUUUGCCUUCGAGCAUCUAGUGACGGCCACGAGUCCCGAGGUCUCUCCGGUGAGACUGGUUCGAGCCGUGGGAGAGUUGGCUAAAGCCGUUGGCGUGGAAGGCGUUGCGGCUGGACAAGUGGCGGAUAUAAGCAGCGAAGGGUUAGACUCAAACGAAGUCGGAUUAGAGCAUCUGGAGUUUAUCCAUUUGCAUAAAACGGCGGCGUUGCUUGAAGCGUCUGCGGUGUUGGGUGGGAUCGUUGGAGGAGGGAGUGAAGAUGAGAUCGAGAAGCUGAGGCAGUACGCGAGGUGUGUUGGUUUGUUGUUUCAAGUGGUUGAUGAUAUCUUGGACGUCACGAAAUCGUCUCAAGAACUGGGGAAAACUGCUGGGAAAGAUUUGGUUGCUGAUAAACUAACGUAUCCGAAGAUUAUGGGUUUGGAGAAAUCGAGAGAGUUCGCUGAGAAGUUGUGUAGAGAUGCUCGUGAACAGCUUUUAGGGUUUGGUUCCGACAAGGUCGCUCCUUUGUUGGCUUUGGCUAAUUACAUUGCAAAUAGACAGAACUGAAGUGUGUUUUCUUCCUUACUUGUUGGAAUCAUUCGAGAUUUUAUUCUCUGGUCGUGUUUCAGAUUGAAUUGUAUAAAAUAUUGGAGAAGCUGAAACAACAGAUUCUUGUGCUUGUUGUUGUAAUCUCUAUGCUUCCGUGUAUUACAAGAUAGGAUAGUUAUGGGUUUAAUACUAUGAGAUCCAUGUUUGUAGGUUCUGACUAAAUCGUUUAGUCCAUUAGGAACCUUUUAAGGCCCAGAUUGUAGCACUGGGCUAUGAAAACCGAUUCAAUAUACGUUUUUAAUAGUUCUUGACCUUAAACAAUUUUUCUGAGAGUGAAUUUUGAGGUUUGGUGAUGAAACAGGCUGGCAAACUUAAGUGGUCAAGAUAAAUGACAGAACAUACACGUUGAUCUAGACAUGGACCACGAAUACCACAUGGGCGUGGCCCAUCCCAUGCCGGGGUUCCCACUUGAACCAAUUAAACUGAGAUGUGUUUUGCGUUUUCUCUGAUCGUUUUUAUAGAUGUGAAUUGUGAACUAGCAAGCCACAAGUACGAAUACUGAAUAAUACACUUAAUGAAUUUCAUCUGUACUUCUAAGAUAAAUCUUUUAUAUUUUAGUCAAAAACUUUCACAAUCAUCAACUUGAUAAUUCAUCAAAAUCAUUGCAAUAAGAGUUUUGGUACAAGGUUAUCUCAUGUAGGAAAAUAUCAUUGCAAAUUGUUACAAAACGGUCAAGAGAUCCAAAAAGCUAGAAAAAUGGUCCUAGCUAACUUUGGUCUUAUAUGAAUUUAGACAAGGCGAAAUUAUAUAAGGUCUAUUUUAGAUGCAAAAUAAAUGCAAAGAUAGUAUUGGGAAAUGGAGAGGCUCCAGACCAUGAGAAUGUUGGUCCCUUGGUCCUUCACACAUAAAAACAGUUUUGCUUCUUUUGUUUUUCUUGAUUUGAUGCCAUUUAUCUUCCAAGUAAGACAAACACUAUGGUAUCUUUUUAGCUUCUUUUUUUUUUCAUUCUCUUCCUUCUUUCUUCCUCAAGAAACACAUCAUGGCCAAGUCAAUCGUCAUUUUCUAUACAGUCUUACUUCGUUACAACUUACAUGUACUAUAUAGUCACAGUCAUGCCUGGCACAUGACUUAACUCGCUGAGAUGUUGAAACUUUAUACGUCAAAAUACAAAAGACCAAAAAUCAUUUUCCCUCUUUUUCGUUAAUUAUUAACGUUAAGAGGGGAGCUGGGUUUGAAUACACAUGGAGCAUUGUAUUUUUUCAUAUAACAGUCAUCGGUUUUUACUUAUGAUAUCUUUGUGAUAGAUAUACCUGAAUUUCAGUCUUUGUAUAUCAAUCCUAGUGUGUAUAUCAUAAAACUCUGACUGUUAUAACUGUCAAAAUUAUAGAUGCUCUCAGUUUUUAAUUUAAUAUUAGAAUUGUGUGCGGGUACUUAUUUUCACUUUUAUAUACAUAAAUAUUAUUUAAAUGUUUAUUAGUUAAUAUUUUAAAUAUUAUCAUAUUUUCAAAUGUUUUUAAGCACAAUAAUUAGAUAGUACAAAUGCUGUAAAAAAAUAUUGACACGUACGCCAUACUAAACCUUCGACAAAUAUUAACCCAUUGAUAUGUUUGAGUAAUAUUUCUUUUAACACGAAAUUGUUUCCCAAAUUUAAUAAUAUUUUAAAUAUUUUGAUUAGAUAUGAGCUAAAUUGCGAGAUUUAGAUACAUCAGAAAAGAAUAUUCAGUUAUAAACAUUAAAUAUUUUUUUACAUGUGAUUCAAUGAUAUUUAAAUCUUAAUAUACAUAUAUUUUAUUUUUAAAUAUAAUUUAUAGUAACUUAAAUGGUUAAAAAUAUAUUUUAGAAAAUAUUUUAUAUAUAUAUAUAUAUGUAUAUAUAUAUAUUUAGGUGAGAUUUAGAUAGAUUAAAAAUGAAUAUUAUGUUAUAAGCAAUAUAUAUUAUUCUACAUGUAAUUCAAACAUAUUUAAAUCUUAGAAUAGAUAUAUUUUAUUGUUGAAAAUAAUUAAUGUUAACCGUAAUAGUUAAACAUACAUUUCUGGAAUAUUCAAAAUACAUAUACUGUAUUUUAGGUCUUACAAUCUAAAUGCAUGGAGUUGAUAUGAUACUUGGAAAAUAUUACAUAAUAUUAUUAAAAAUCGUUUUUAAACUUAAAUUUUCCUAAAAUUUAGCUAAAUCAUUUUAGUAAAUAUGUUUAACACAAAGGGGGUGAUUGGUUGAGGUGUAACUGUAGAAAAUUUACUUUAAAAUUUAGUCUGUAUGAUUUUUUUAUUUAGCUUUAAGAGAUGUAUCUUUAAAAUUUCAUACAGCUAAAAAGAUGGAGCUUUAGAAAAUAAGACUUUUACAGCUAUUUUUUUUGCUGCAGCUUUAAUUUUUUGGUUGUACCUUUAAAAACUAAUAUAAAGCAUGAUUGAUGGUUUUAAGGCUGUAGAUAAAAAUUAAAUCUAAAGUCACUUGCUACAGCCCAACCAAUCACCUUCAAAGUUUUAGCUAAACUUGAUUUAGGAAAUGAUUUAAUAAAAUAGAAGAAAACAAUGAUUACUUAAAGUUAAGGUUAUUUAAUACUUCAAUGACAUUGACUUAUAAAUAAAUUGUAAAUUUAUGGUGAAUUUGUAUUUGUAAUUCUCUUUUAAUAAUAUAUAUAUAUAUACAAAAUCUUGAUUAGUAUAUAUAUAUAGUCUAGUAUAUAUUUAUAGUCUAGCAAAAAGUAACCAUACGAAUAAAGUGAACAACAGGGAAAUGUAGAGAGAGUCUCCUCUGUUUCGACUCGCGCUCCGACUCCUCCAUGGCGACUCCACCCUGCAUCUCCUCCAUCUCGACUCCGCCCUGCGUCUCCUCUGUCUCGACUCCGCCCUCCGUCUCAUCCGUUGUAAUUCCAACUCUGUCCUCUUCUUGAUCUGCCACCGUGUACGUCUCCACAUGUGCCACUUGAAACUCACUCUCCACCAAAACCAGCGGAUCCUCUCAUACCGUUCAAUCUCGUGCUUCUUCUCCUGUUUGACAUAGCUUUGUUAGUGCAGUGACGGCUGAGUUAUAGAAGCUGAAAAAAUAACUCCUCAAGGUGUCCAUGUACCAGUUGUGAAGUACUACAUGAAGUCGUACAAAAAGUGUAAGUGCUACGUGAAGUGAAGUGAAGAUGUGAAGUUGUGCAACUGACUUGGACUUGGAGCCGAUGUAGAGCUAAACUACAAGAUACUUGGAAGUUAAGUAAGGUAUGAUUUACCUUGGAAAAAAUAAAUCAUCAAAGGAAGAUUUCCAAAUGUCUUUGAAUAAGUUUUGGAAAUAUUCCAUAAAGGAAUAUUUGUGAAUAUCUCUUCCUUGAGAAGUUGGCAAGGGUAAGCCACAAAAUUUACAUGUAUAAGUAGACAUAGAGACAUGCCUUGGGAUAAGCACCCCCUCAAGAGAAGGCCGUAAGCAUAAGGGCUUUGGGGUUGAAUGAGAGUAGAGACAAAGCAUAAGGGCUAGGGGUCAUGAGGGGUUCAGAUGGGUUCUUGGGUUAGUUUGAUCUAGGAACGUGUUAGGCUAGUGUCUAUGUCUGGAGUGUGAAAUGUUAGUCAACUCGGAAGAGAGCUACUAAGGCACUUUAUCUAUGUAAAGAUAAACCUUCAUUAUUAUCCUGUUGUACUACUUUGUGAAAUAAAUAAAAGCAUUGUACUUGUAUGUAUUACUUUUUGUAACAGGCUCGUCUUGCACUUUCAAGCCUUUUCUCAACUGUUUUCAAAAACUCCUGAUUUGAAAUCCCCUUUGCUGAAUCUGGUACAUGUGUUCAGUGAUGGUGUUAUUUCUCUUGUGUAUGUUGAUGACACAAGUUUUGUCUCAAAGUGUUUGUCUCUUGCAGGAUGCAAUGUUUUCCUUUACUGGUGCGUUGAUUGGAUUCUUCGCCGAUUCUCAAUCAUUAAUUUCAUAUAUCCUCAUCUCCCGUUCAUUAUGCUUGUCAUUGUGUUUGUUGAUUCAACAAUGGGUUGCUCGAUCCCCAUCUCCAUCUCCGUCUCUCUUCCUCUUCCAUUAAUCCAAGUGUAUCUAAGAGAUUUUUUAACUAAAUAUUAAGUGAUGAGUUGAUAUCAUUGGUUUGGUAUCUUGAACUCUCCUUUGAUAUCUCUCUUUUUCUCUCCUUGGUGCGAUCCUUUACUGCAAUAUGCAGUCCUUUUUCUGCAGUAUGCAGUUCUAUCUUUGUGGUAUUUAAGUCUUUAUGUGCUCAGUGGUAGCUUAAUGGAUUGAUGCCUCACAUAUCCACUCAUCAUGUUAAUUGGAUUGUUUACUGUCUGGUUUCCGUUUUUAUGGAAUUUGUUCUUUCCCAAUUUUAUCAUAUACUUUAUGUGGCUCUGGUGUAGGGAAUGUAUUGUUGAAGAUUAGAGAUAAUUUUAACACUGAAGUUCUAAUCAAAGGUUUUGUAGCCAUGUUGAAGAUUGUUGAUUGUGCACUUGUUGCUGUUUCAAUCUUAGGAUUUAUAUCUUUGAUUGUGGUCUCUAAUUUCCAAGGCGCCAUCUAACUUUACAGUUCGAUGGCCGUUGAGAUUAGAAGACUUCUCGAUAUCAUUAGUUGUUUAAGUGUUUUGUAUGCCCCUAUCUUUUUAUCAUUCUAUAUUGUAUUUGCUUCCUUGUAAUAGCUGUUUGUUUAGUAUGGAUGACUUCGAUUUCAUGUACGUACACUUUCUCCAUUGAUGGAAAGUAAUUUUUUUAUAAAUAUAAGGUUUGAUAAAAAAAAAAGAGUAGCAAAAAAUACCUGACUUUAACAAAUGAAAAUAUGUUUAUAGUCUACUUUUAUUUUUGUUGUUAGAAAUCGGUAUUGUCUUGUUAUAGAUGUUCCAAUGGACCCAAAGUCUAGGCUCGUGAAAACUAGACCAGGUAAGAGUUAGUAUACUAAAGCCAUGUCACUUCGUAAUAGGUGAAAAACUGAAUUCAAACUGAAUAUAACUUCUAAGAAAUUGAGUUGGAUAACUAUACUUAUAAGAAGAUGACGAUUCUUUUUAGUCUAGUAAGGACCUUUGUGUAAUCCAUAAUAUAAAUAAAUAACGUUCACUUCUAUGACCAGUUUUGUUUAUAUGUCACAAGCAUCUACGCUCGUUGUCCCUAUCUACCAACUCAUGUGCUCUCGAGUAAACUUUUCCGUUCAGAAUGAUCCUAAUAUUUUCAGCCAAUGAAAGGGAAGAGUAUAGAAACAUUAAGGAAAAUGCCAAUUAAAUAAUUUCUCGUCGUUUUACUCUCAGUUUACAUUAAUACACGCAUCUAUAAUAAUUUUUGCUCGUGGAUAAAAUCUGAUCGGUUAGACCUUAGCACCAUUAGGUGAGGGAUCUCCUUAUUCAACAUGUUUAUUAAAUGCCCUCAAAACUCAAUGUUUGAUCCUUAUAUAUAUUUCGUUUUAUUACUCCUACGUCAAAAUUAUUAUAACGUCCCGAUCGUCCAUGGCUAAUGGGCUAUUCGGCUCGUGGGUCCAUUCCGUCUGACGAGCGAUGCGUUAAUUUUUACAAGGCCCGACUCUUUUUUACUAAUCUUGCAAUCACCACUCGAUUUUCCCGCUCGAUUUUCCCGUGCUUUUGCCUCACUCGCACGACAUCGCGAAUCACUUCGCGAUAGGUCAUCCAUCCUUUCACUACUCCAGCCGUAACACACUUAACUUUGGAGUUCUAAACGGAUGUGUGACGAAAAAGGUAAGUUAACUUUGAUGACAUAGAUAGCCAAAUUAAUCCUCUUAAACUUUUCCAUAUAUCACAACUCGGAUUGUUACAAUUCACCUCUUCUCAAAGAACGCAACAUCCUCGUUGCUCCCCACGACAGGUCCCAAGGCGCCUUUCGAGUCAGAAUCGAAAUGGAUAACCAGCUAUGAUACCACUUAUAACGCCCCGACCGUUCACAGCUAAUGGGAUACCCACCUCCGCUCUCUCGGCCCGUGGGUCCCAUUCCGUCUAACGAGCAGUGCGUUAAAUUUUUUCCAAGGUCCGAAAGUCUUGUUUACUAACCCUGCAAUCACCACCCGACCUUUUCAUGUGUUUUGGCCUUACUCGUAUGAUAUCGCGAAUCACUUCCGGCCGCUAAGUCACCCAUCCUUUCACUACUGCAGCCUAAAUACACUUAACUCUGAAGUUUUAAAUGGAUGUGUGACGGAAAAAGUAAAUCAAUUUUGAUGACGUAGGUAACCAAAUCAAUCUUCUUAAACCUUUUUAUAUAUCAGAAUAUUACAAUUACUUUAUAUAGAAAUUGUGAUUUCUGUAACUAAUUAAUGUAUCCGCUCGUUCAUCCAAAAGGAGACGUAUAUUUGUUCAAGUCUUCAAACUAUAGAAAUCCUCUUAAGUUAUCUAUAACCCAAAAUCUCAGGACCAGCUCAUAAUAGUUAUAGUUUCCGGUUUUGUUCAUAUACACAUAUAUGUGUUUUUGUAUUGAAACCACAAACAAAUGCGCAAGUCAUAAAGGCAAACCUAAAUACAAGUUUUUAGCAAAAAAAAAAAAACCUAAAUACACGUAGUGAGCUUGUGGUCACACACCAUUAGACAAAAACACAAUGAAGUCGCAGAAUACCAGUGCUCAAAAGGCACUGAUAAAAACAAAAUAAAAAAGCGAGAAAAUUAUUACAAAAUCAGUUAAAUAAAAUAAAAAGAAAAGAUAAUAGAAAAUAAAAAUGAGAGGAACAACUAGAUUGACGCAAAAAGGACAAGAAAUGGAAUAAGAAGGGACCAUCACUGCCAUUUUCACAACCCCUUUGUUGCCUCGCUCUCCCAUUACUCAUGCAUGUAAAAAAUUCAAAUUUAUUUGUUUCUUUCUCAUCGACUUUAUUGUAUUUUUGAUUUUGUAAAAUAAUAAAAGUUCUUGGAAAGUCGAAACAUAGAGUUAGGAUGUAACGAAUAUAGACAAAAAUUUAACGAUGUUAAAACCGAUAUUAACGCAAACAUAUAACUCACGUUCAUUUUGGCAAAGACAACUCUAUCUAUAACCACCAUAUGUCAAAUCACAAACUUAUGAGGAAUAGCAUUAUCAUAUGACGUAGACUGAAUGACGGAUGGAUGGAUGAUAUGUUUUAAAAAAGAUUGAUGGAUGAGAAAUCAAAUGAUAUAUUGACAAGACAAUAAAUCAAACCUUUGAGGCUAUGAGCAUCUAUUAUGGGUCGUUGUAAAUGCUUUUAGUCAAGAAAAGCUUCUUUGGAUAUCUUUCAAUCAACAAAAAAUAAUAAGCUUAUUUCUAUAUUUCCUUUUUAAUGGUGGUUUUAUCUUCUAACUAUUAGCAAUUGCACACCAUCUGAUCAUAUCGAAACUUCAUGUUUAGGGAAAUCCCGAUUAGUUUCUUUUAACUGAUACAUUUUAUCUGAAAAUCAAUUUUUAAAAUGUUGUUAUAUCAUGUAAAUAUGGAACAUAUAACGCUAUAUAUUUACAUAAAAACACUUUAAUACAUGUAGUUUGGUAUACAUUCCAUUAUCAAGAAUUCGUAUACCAUCAGAAUUUCUUGUUCACAGAAAAAAAAGUGUAUAAAAUGUCUUGUGAGUUCUGAUUACAAAAAAAAAAAUAUUACAUAGUUAUAAGUCUUUGGCUUUCUUAUAGAAAACAAAAACGACUUUGUGAUGAAUGUUUAUGUGAGGUCGAGAAGCGAGAAACGUGUUAAAGAUGAAGAAAAUAAUAAAUAUUUUCAGGGUUAGAGACUUGACAUCAUUGAAGAUAUUAUAAAGCAGAUCAAUAGAAGAGAGCCAUUACCAGUUGGCUUUGGUGGGUAAAGAGUAUAAAUGCCUAAAGAAGAAGAUCCUCUCCACGUACACGUGCGAAAAAGGAGGUUCAGCACGCAACGGAUGGUUGUGCAUAAGUGUGAAAGGAGGGUGGGAUUCAUGUGAGAGACUCACCCGAUUAAACUCUUUUUCCUAAAGAGAACCAUAUUGAGUUAUAAGGGAAAAAAAUAAAAACGAAUUAAAAAGAGAAAUAUAUAUUGGUAGGAGGGAAGAAGGUUGAACUGUCAAUUGUUAUUCCAGGUUUACAAUUGGAAUUACAAAAAAAUGCAACUAAAAUUAAAACAGUCUCAUAAACAUUUAUUUAUUACUAGUGUUACAUGAAUACAAAAGGACCUUGUUAUAUAUAUUGUCUAACCUUGACAGCACACCAUGAAAUUUACCUCACAAAAGUGGCUAGGAUUAUCACAAUGUUUUAUUAACUAAAAAUGAAUCCAUUAGUUGCGUGGUAAUAUAACAUUAAUCUAUAAUGCUAGCUAGAUUCCAGCAUGGUGUCAUGUCACAAAAAAGUCUCAAUGUGUAAAUUAUAAAAGUGGACUUACAUUAUUACUUUCGACAUUUCCAUUAGUUAUUUAUCCCAUAUAACAUACGUUGUAAUGUCAAAUAUCUAUAUAACCGUAUAUGGGAUAUGCAUUUAAAUCUGAUAAUAAUAAAAAAAAUUAGGUAAGACGUACGUGAUACGAGAUAAGUCUUCAGUCGAAGAAAUGAAUCUCAAUAUCCUCACUCCCUAACUAAUGUAAAAUUAAGGUUAAUAUAUUUCUAAAAAGUUAAAACAAUCAAGUUGUUUGAUUUUAAAACAGUAACACAUGAUAUAUAAGAUGUUGAGCGUUAGUAAUAGUGCGCUCGUUCACACAUAUCGGUCUCAAGAAUUUGUCGUUAGUGCGCUCGUAUAAAAUUUUCAGACUAUUUUCGCUUGUUAAAAUCCUUUAUUCCAAUCUAAACGCUUAUCUCGAAAGGAAAAUAUCUACCUUUUUAUUUGGUUUAGAAUUUUUCAAUCGCCAAACCAUGAAAUGUACAUAUUUCCCCCUUUUAUACUAGUUUUUCUGCUGAUUUUCACUAUACUCUUAUCAAUUUUGCAUUAUUUCUAAGGAAUCUUUGAGAAAAAAAAUCCAUCUAUACAGUUUAAUGAAAUCAUUUUGUUAGUGUGCUGAAAACUUAUAUAAUUGUCUACUCCAUGUUACCACCUCUGACGUGAUCCUCUAUAUAUAUUGAGUUAACAUAAGAACCAAAAAAAACGCAGCCGGAUCGAUCUCAAAUUUGUUGAACCAAAAAUCAGCUAUGUGUCGAUUUCAUCGGUUUUCUAGAUUAUCCCCACACAAACCUAAUUGGCAUUGUGAGAACUUGACUUCUAAUCCUUCCUCUUACCUUCAACACGUGCCAAACAACACGUCCGGUGAGUGCGAACGUCCAUCUUUCAUUUUCUAUCCAAUGAGUAGAAAAUGUAGACGGAGUUUCAUCGUACUAGAACCUCAAGUAGCAAAACAAUUAUGCUUUCAAGAUCGAUGGUCCGGGUAAAAAAUUAGCUUGGAUAUUAGAUAGUUCUGAAUUAUUUUGCAUUUUCUUGCAUUGUUAUUUAAAAUUAGACCAUCCUAGUUUUGAAAAUUAUAUGUCUUACAUAAUUGAUCUAUGUAGGUUACGAGAUAAUAAACAUGCUAAUUAAUUAACUCACGGUCACUUCAAUGAAAAGCCGAUUGUAAGUGACUAACUUGUGGUUACAACUUAGAAUCAAUUGAUUAUGACACAAUCAUUUGUUUUGGUAUAGUGAUUAUCGUUUUAAAAGAAUCAUAAUCUCCGUAUAAGGAAAGUUAAUCUGAUUUUUCAUAAAAAUACAAACAAAAUGUCUGAAAGAAACCAGAAUACUAGUUUGUUAGGACUGAUUCACAAAGAACAUUUAUGGUAUUCCUAGGAAGGACUAAGGCUCACGCAUAUGUAUUAUAAGCUUAUUCUACACAUUUAAAAUAAAUAUGUAGCUUUUAAACUAUAUUGGUUUUUAGCUUUUUAUUGGGGAAGAUUGAUGUGAGGUCUAACCUAUGUAAUGUCAUCUGACGAUUGAUGAGCGACGCACCAACAAGGAUCAGUUUUGAAUGGACGUAAUUGACUCUAUCUGCGAGUUAACCCAGGGUAUCCAGAAAAAUGAUAGCGAGAGUAUUUGGAGAAUAUGGCAGUGUCUUAAAAUUUUUGCAUGAUUUUAGACAAACAACCACAUAGCAUAAAAAUUAAUAAACUAACCAGAAAAUAGUUAGAAUAUUUUCUAUAUUUCUACAAUAUAUGUUACUAUCUUUUUUAUAUAUGUAACAAUUAUAUUUUACUGUGUUUAUAUAAAAGUUCCAUUUAAUUGUAAUCCGAAUAUAUUUAAAUUACCUAAGACUAAAUUUUUGAGUUAUUUAAUUUGUUUUAUAUUCUAUCAUUUUGUAUUUAUAUCAAAUUUAUAAAGUAUAUCAAUUUGUAUUGACAAAUAUAAUAGUGUGAUUAGCAUAAUAUAUCUGUUUUGUAUACUAUACUAUUCUGUUUAACUAAUGACAAACUAUUUUGUAUAACAUUUUUUCUAAUACGUUAAAUUGCCCGUAUUUUUUUGAUGACAACAACAAAAACUAAAGAAGAAGAUUGGUGAGUUAAAAAAGAAGAAGAUUGGUGGGCUAAAAAGUAAGGCGGAGAAGAAAACAGAAUAGUGCCUUCUAUCUCUAUCAUAUUUUCUCUAUGUUUUAUUAUAUUUUUAAAGAAUUCCUGAAUAAACUCUUAGUAACAAAGAAAACAAGAAAAGGAGAGUCCAGAAAGAGAAAGCCAGAGAGAAAGAGAAAACGAUACCUAUACCUCUCUCUCUCUUUUUUUUUUCAGCAGCAAACUCCAAAGGUAUUCUCUUCUCAUCUGCUCUCUCUAUAUGGUUAUGUUCAUCAGUUAUAUAGUCUUAUAGAUGAUGUAUUUAGUUUUGAAAACAGCAUAAGACCUUGUUGACUCGCUCUUUGUCUUUCUUUCUUAGUUAUGUUUUGUAUUAUAUCAUGAAGAAGAAGAUUGAAUGAUUCACAUGGCAAUAACCAAAACUUCUCCUACUACUACUUGAAGACUCUUCACAAUAAUUCUAUGUCCCAAGAUUACCACCACCAUCAUCAUCAACAACACCAAGGAGGAAUCAUAAGCUUCUCUAAUGGAUUCGACCGAUUAGAUUCGACCAGCUUAACAACUCAGCAGAAGCAAGAACAUCAAAGAAUAAAAAUGGACGAGGAAUCUUCAGUCGCCGGAAGUGGGAUUCCGGUCUAUGAAACUGCCGGAAUACUAUCAGAUAUGUUUAACUUUCCCGGAAGCAGCGGUGCAGUAGGAGGAGGAGAUCUUGACCACGACCAAUCUUUCCGGUCAAAUAGACAGUUUCUUGAGAAGCAACAUCAUAAUAUUCCGGCGGAUUCAGCCGCCGCCAUGCAGUUAUUUUUAAUGAAUCCACCGCAACAACCACCGUCUCCGGCAUCUACAACCACCACAAGAAGCCACCACAACAAUUCUUCAACUCUUCACAUGUUACUACCAAAUCCAUCUCACCAACAAGGCUACACUAAUACUAUGUCUAUGCAUCAGAUUCCACAUCAGCAUCAUCACCAACAACUGACGUGGCAGUCUCCCUCAUCCUCCGACCAUCAUCAUCAUCACAACAGCCAAACCGGUGGACAAGGCUUGUCCCUAUCUCUCUCGUCGUCUUUAGAGGCUGCAGCAAAAGCGGAAGAGUAUAGAAAUAUAUACUAUGGAAACAGUUCUUCUAAUUCAAGAACUCUUCUUACUGACUACCCUCAACAUCAUCUCCGAUCAUCUCCGGUGGCUGCUGCGGCGUCUUCUUCUUCCGUAGGAGCGAUCAAUAUCAUUAGAAGCUCGAGGUACACGACGGCCGCUCAAGAGUUGUUGGAGGAGUUUUGUACCGUUGGAAGAGGAUUUUCUAAGAAAACCAAACUUAGGAACAGCUCAAACCCUAAUACUAGUGGUGGCGACGGUGGCAGUGGCUCUCCAUCGUCGGCCGGAGCAAUUAAGGAUCAGUCUCCUUUGUCGGCGUCUGAUCGGAUUGAGCAUCAAAGAAGAAAAGUUAAGCUACUCACCAUGCUUGAAGAGGUUUGUCUCCUUAAUUUAUUUAGUUUCAAUCUUGAUUUUUGACUUGGUCCUUUAAUGAUAGUAACACAUUUUACGUAUUUAGUCAAAUACUCAAUUGAUCCAAAAGUUAUUAUAACGAAGGGACAAGAAACGUGAUAUGACUUGAUUGAACUCUUUGUUUUGAAACGAUUAAUUUAUAAGAACUGGUCAUAACUUUGAUUAUUUUGCUAGAGUCUGAUUACGCAAUCCUAGCUACCAUCAUUUAUAUAAAAAAUAUAAAAAUUUAAACAACUUAUUCGUGUGGCAGUCGUAUUAUAAGUUAUAUUGAGGAAUAUAUUGAUGCUUAGCGUUUGGUAGAAUCGAUUAAUCAAAGAAAAAUCAUUACCAUAUAUUCUACUAUCUUCUAUGUCUAUUCCUUAACGUUACUUAAUUAUUUACCCAUUAUCUGAAUAGUUAUCUUUUUUAGUUGACUUAUUUUUCUCACUAUAAGUAUUUUAUUUUAUGCUUGGGCUGGGAUACGAAAACUUUGGAGUAUAUUCUGUUGUUUUCAAAUUUUAUUACUGUCUCAUCCUAACGUAACUAAUUAGUACUCUCAUUUGUUUUUUCAUCAUUAGUAUUCUUCUUGUAAAAAAAUCAUCAUUAGUAUUUUGAUCGAUGAAACUCGUACACAAAUAUACCUGCUCGUGAAAAGAUCUCUAAACUAUAUAUUAAUCACGUGAAAUAUAACACACAAGCUAUCAAUAACAUUGACUAAAAGGAAAAGCAAAUAUUAAAUAUGUAUGGAUUGUAUAAUGUAUAGUUUAAUUUUGUUGGCAGGUGGACCGACGGUACAACCAUUACUGUGAGCAAAUGCAGAUGGUCGUGAACUCUUUCGACAUAGUAAUGGGCCACGGUGCUGCGUUACCGUACACCGCUUUGGCUCAAAAGGCUAUGUCUAGGCAUUUUCGAUGCCUUAAAGAUGCGGUUGCGGCUCAACUUAGGCAGAGCUGUGAACUUCUUGGGGACAAGGAUGCAGCCGGAAUAUCUUCUUCCGGAUUAACUAAAGGCGAAACGCCGCGGUUGCGUUUGCUAGAACAGAGUUUGCGUCAGCAACGUGCGUUUCAUCAAAUGGGGAUGAUGGAACAAGAAGCGUGGCGGCCACAACGCGGUUUGCCUGAACGAUCCGUUAAUAUCCUUCGAGCUUGGCUCUUCGAGCAUUUUCUCCACCCGUAAGUAAAUUCUUUUAUUUCUUACCUUUGCCGUUAUUCCUUAACCCUUGUUAUAAAUCAUUUACGAUUGGUGUUAAAAAAAAAAAACUCAUUUACGAUGAAAAUAAAUUAAUUUUUAUAACAACUGAGCAAACGCAUUUAUUUCUUGUUAUUUCAUCAGUGAUUUCUUUAGAUCUAUGUCAGUGGAAUUUUGCUAUUUUUUUGUUAGUCAGAGUUAUCGAAAAAAUGGAAAUAAAGCAAAAGAGUAGUGUUUUUGUACUUUUUUACCUCUCUGUCAAUUGCUUUAUGAGUAAAAACAAAACAGAAAAGGAAAAAGAACUGGAUCUAUGCUAUGUAAUCAUCAGCUUUUCUUUUGUCUCUUAGAUUCUCACGCCCUUGUUAGUAAAAAGAAAGAGAAAGCCUGUACUUUUUCUUGCAUAUACUUUGAUUGUGUUGUAUACAGAGAAAAUAUAAAGAAGAUCAUUUAGAUUAUGUUUAGGGCAAAGAGAGAGUGAUGUCAUUUUCUGGUCUCUUUCUCAGGUAUCCAAGCGAUGCAGAUAAGCACCUCUUGGCUCGCCAGACUGGUUUAUCCAGAAAUCAGGUCAGUAUAAAAAUAUGAAUGUUAUAUAGAAAAUAUAUAUAGUAUAUGUCUAUUACAUAAGCAUAACACAGUGAAAUAAUUAUUUUCAUUAAGCAAAUACUAUACUAUGUUUUAAGUUCGUGCACAAAAAAAAACUAUGUUUCAAGCAAGCUAUCUUUCCAGGUAUCUUUCUUAACUAGAUAUACAAUUCAUGGAAUGGCCACAAUCUGGACUACUAAUGAAUUACCUUGUUAGUAAUACUCAUUCCGUUCCUAAAAUAUAGACUUUUUAAUAUUUUCACACAUAUUAAAAAAACACAUUAAACUACCAUAAUAAAUGUAUCGUUUUCUGUAAUUUUUAAUUUUCGAUAACUUUUAACUAAUAGUAAUUCAAUAAAAUCAAUUAAUUUUCUUGAAGUUUACAAAUUUUUCAUAAAAAACACAAAAAUACAUUUUUCUGAUUUAAACUUUUUUUCUAAAAAGUCUAUCAUUAAGAAACUGAGGGAGUAUGUCUUUAGAAUUUGUCAAAUUUUCUUCCACGUAUAAACAACUUCAUAUAUACAAAAAAUUAAACAUAUGAUUUUGUCAAACGUUUAUUUUAAAGUUAUAGACGAAAACAUAAAGAACAGUUUCCUUUGGGUUUAGAAUUUGUAAGAUGUUCGAUAGAAUAAAAUAACGUUUUCUCCCUAUAUAUGAACCUAACAUUUUAAACUUGUGAAUUCAAACACGGUCAAACAUUUAAGUUUGAAAUAAUCUAACUCUAUAUAUACUUAUAUAUAUAUAUAUGUACUAUCGUGAAGUUUUGUUUUGGUUAUACAUUGUGAAGUUCGUUUAUAUAAUUAGAACUAGAUAACACUUUAAUUAAUGGCCCAGAUUACCUAUACACGUAGAAUUUGACAUUUUAAUUAGCAUAUGCUUAAUAGUGUUUAGAAGUUAACCUCACAAAAGAAAGAUUGUUAUACCAAACUUUUCUCUUCAGGAAAGAAGCAACAUGCAUGAGUCUUGAGUACACUAACUAGUAGGAGUAACUAACUUGAGAUAGAUCUUUUGCAUGGGUUUUGUUUCUUUCCUUCGUUUGGUUUGAUACUCUACUUUUACCAAUCACACUGCAUGUGUUUUGCCUUCCACUCACUAUUAACAUUUCUUGGGAUUCGUUUCGUUACAAACAUAGAAGAGAGAGAGAGGAGAGAGAGCGAUAGACAUUAAAAACUGAAAAGGGACCAUUUUCCUCAAGUAGAUCAAAGUUUGCAGCUUUCAAGAAACCCUCAAUUUCUUGCAUACAUUAAAUAACAAAAUGACAAAUAAAAAGGAGUCCAUUAUUUCUUUCGUUAGAGUAACUGUUAUCAUUAACUUGGUGAAUAUUUUUUUGUCUUUUUAUUCAGGUGUCAAAUUGGUUCAUUAAUGCUAGGGUUCGAUUAUGGAAACCAAUGGUGGAAGAAAUGUAUCAACAAGAAUCAAAAGAAUUAGAAGAAAACGAACAAGAUCAAGAAACAAAAAACAGCAACAGCGACAAGAGCACAAAACCCAACAACGAUGAUAGCAACUUCACUCCAGUUCGGACCACUUCACAAACUUCAAUGACAGCUGCACAAUCAGCAACAACCGCACCCGACGCAGACGCAGCAGUAGCGACAGGCCACCGUCUAAGAUCAUCAUCCGACAUCAAUGCUUACGAAAACGACCCUUCCUCCUCCUAUACCAACGUCGCCGCAGUCUCUAGUUACGCUGGUUCAACCGCGUUUUCGGCGGUUGCUACGUGUCAGAAAGGUAUUGGAGGAUUUGAUGAUACUGACAUGGAUGGUGGUAAUGUUAUAAGGUUUGGGACAAACCCUACUGGUGACGUGUCACUCACGCUUGGUCUACGCCAUGUUAGCAAUAUGCCUGAUCAACGCUUCUUUCUGCGAUAGAGAGUUUCGUUUGGGGGGGUUGGUUUGAUUUUGUUACUACAUUUAUUUAGUUAAUGUAUAUUUUUUAUUUUUGUGUUCAAAAUAUAUUUAAACCCUCACAAGAAUACUUUAGAUCAUCCCUAUUUUCUUUUACUUCGUUUUCCUCUUGCAAACUAGAAGACAACCAUUUAACAUCAUAUUGUAAUUGUACAACACUACCACUUAUUGUUUUCUUUCAGUGGUUUGUUUGUCUAAUCACUAUCACUUACCAUACCAUCGGAUUAUUUUACAUAAUAUUAGGUUCGGAUCAUUUCUAGUUCGGGUCUCCUUUAGAUACUCAUUCAAAUUCAAAUCAUUUUUUGGGUUAUUAGAAACACCACAAAACGUUAUUUAAAUACUCAAAAAAAUUAAAUAAAAUUAGUACUUCCUCUGUUUCACAAAAAAAUAUGUUUUAGAAGAAGAAAAAUAUUUUUUAAAAUAAAAUUUUUAUAUUUAAUUCAUCUUUAUCAUCUAAUUAUAAUUAAUUGUAAGUUUAAAAAAACUACGUUCACCGAAUUUUUAUUAGUUUAGAAUUAUGAAAAUAUUUAAUUGUAAAAUAUGUAUUUAGUACCAAAAUUUAAUAUGUUUUGAAAAUCUUAAACAUACAUCAUUUUGAAUUGGAGGAAGUAUAUAACAUAUAAACUUAAACAGUGAGGCCCUUUCUCAAAAAAUAAAAAUAAAUAAAUAAAUAAACUUGAACCGUGAUUACAUCCUAACAUAAAAUAGAAUUGAAUAUUUUAAUUAUUUGUUUUGGUUUUAGAUAUUAAUUUGUAUUUUUUGGAUAUUUAUUGGAAUUUGGAUACAUGUUUUCCGAAUGUUUUUGGAUCUUUUUGUGAUAUUUUAGGUUUUUUUUUUGGGUUCGAGUCGAUCGGAUAACAGGAUGCAUUUGGAUAUUUUAUAUAGUGGAUCAAAUUCGUAUUUUCGGAUCCGAUGCAUAUUCGUAUUUCAAAUCCGUUUUUUUUUUCAGCUCUAGUCGCUGCGAUGCUUCCUCGAUCUUCCACGGAGAUGAUGGUGACGGGAACCAAAAACGUUAGUAGACCGAGCAAAAAUUUGGUAGUAAAAAGCCCAACCAAAUAUAUGAAAGGCUCAAAUAUGAUUCAAGACUGCGUGCUGUUUUCCCCCUCCUAUACCGGGAUUUUAGUCACGUCAUUGUCGGAGACUGCGAGUAAUAGAAAAGAAAACUCUUAAUGGCUGAAGCAACCCUCUUUUUCAAUACAAUUAAAACCAAAUACACAGUGAUGAAUAAUUUGUGAAUAAGAUCAAUUAUGUUAGUUAAGAAUUAAGAUCAAUCAAUAAAAAUCCAGUGCAUUUAACUUAACCAAUAUAGAUAAAAGAGGGUUGAUUUAACUUUACUAUAAUAGUUUCUGAUUAUGGCGCAAUGCUUUAGGUCUUUAGCCACCAUCCUAGGUCCUAACGAGACGAGUGGAAAGAAUGUAGCAAUCACUAUCCUGGAGAAUAACACAAAUACAUAUUAUUGGUUGUUCAUCCCAUGAACAUCUGGAGAUAUUCUACUCUCUCGUUAAAAAGGAUAAAGAUAAACAGUGAACUAAUACGAAAGAAUUUAGGAAAUAAGUAAAUAGUGGAUAUAAUUAACAUACUACUACGAAAAGGUUUUCUUUCGGAAAAGUGGAUAUUCAUAUUAUACACAUUUUUAAAGUGGACGUUUGGUAGAAGACUUUGGUCUGAUUGGUAAAAUGUAGCGUAAUAUUAAUUGUAUAACAUUUCUAAUGCAAAUUAUAAUGGUGAAAACUUUAUUACUCUAACUUACUCUUAAAAAAAUCAAAUCAAUUGGAAUUACAUUUUCCCUCAUUUACUCUUUACACUACAAGAAAUAGUUUAAUUUCUGACCUCUAAUUCUGUUAGAAAAUGGUUAAAAACACUUUAUUUUGACCAUUUUUUAAUCACAAUAGACCGUCAAAAAAACUCUGUAAAAAAUGAAUUUAGUCAGAAAAUGGUCAAUUUUUUUUUACCAUAUUAAGUCGACGGAAUUGUCGUCAAAAACAAGCAUCAGAAAGUGGUCAAAAUUAUUAAUUCAUUUUCUGAUAAAGUUCUGACCACUCUUUUAUGUUGAUUUUCCAAAAAAUUUGCAGAUUUUUUUUUAUUAUUUGAUUUUUUUAUCAGAUUAUUAAUUUAACAAAAUUAAAAUAACAAAAUUAUUAUUAAGUAUUGAAGUUUAGCAAGAUAAGAAUACAUAUUAAAAAAAAAAGAACUAACUCAUCUCAAGAAAAUAACUUUGAACUGGUUGUUCUCAAAUGUCAGACUCACUUGUUCACAAGAUACCAACAACUACUACUACCUGGAAACACAGCUCUCACUUUCUAUAUCACUCUAUCAUUACUUGCACACAUAGCCUUGUUUAACUUCUUUUGCAGCUGCUGUUUCCUUUGUACGAUGUUAAAUUCAGACUUUCUGGAAAUAUGCAGAGGAAAUAAUUUGUAUGUUAGAAAGUUGCAUCUUGAAUAUUAUUGUCGAAUAACCAACAAAAUAAAUCAUUCUUGAAUAAUUAUUACUGUUUUAAGAAAAGAGAAACAGACACAACAUUACUCCAUAUUUGAGCUAUGAUUGAUGUUUAAUGGAAUAUGGAGGAAAAAGGUGGAAUAUGUAGGAAAAAUAAAAACAAAAUAUAGAGUAAAAUUUUCCAUUAUGGUUAAUGUAAGGUAACAAAUUAGUCUAUUUUUAAUUUCUUUUGGCGUAAAUAGGUGAAAUUUUACCGGACUGAAAUUAAAGUGGAGUAACUCAACAUAAAUAUAUUUUACUCUACUCUUUGUGCUAGUAGUGCUUCCAGUGGCACUCUUAAUAAGAACAACCACAUUUUUUUCUCUUUGUUUCUCAUUUUAUUUUAUUUUUAGCUUGUUUUCACUUUUUAUAUUUUUCCAUUUUACUCUAAAAUUAUCAACCAAAGCCUAAUAGGGUAAAAUAGAGUAAAUGAGAGAGAAUAAAAAUAAAACAAUUGGUGUGACUCUGAUUUUUAUUUAGUGAAAAAGUAGAAAAAUAUAGUGAUAAAACAGAAAGAGAAAACAUGUUAGCCAGAAAGAGAGCGAAAAUUUAUUUCCAUUUUUUAACUGAUCAGUAAAAUGUAGUGGAAACUGGAGUAACAUUAUUUAGUCUAAACUUUUGCUCUAAAACAGCUAUCCAAUCAGAUUCUAUGUGUAAUAGCUAUUUAUUAGUUUUUUCUCUACUUUUUCUGGUUUUAUAUUGUUUUGUGUAGAGAUACUAGCAAAGCAAAAUGAUCGCGCGGGUAACAAAUUUGUUGGUUACAACCCAACUGCUUUCAUGUUGGUCCAAUUCACAUAGAACAUCAUUGGUUUAUAAUGCAUAUAUACAUAUAUGUAUAUAUGUAGUGGAAGAAAUAUUAUUAAAAAUAACUCAUGAAUUGCAAUGGAUUCGAUCUUGAUUAGGAAUCAUGUGAUAGCUAGUAAGAGUGAAACAGUUUAUUAAUAGUCACUUAUAAUCGUGUAUGCUAUAAUAUGUUUUAAACAUCUUGUCUUAGCUUCUUCCUUGGGUUUACAUUUUACAAGGUGGUUGUAGUCUUGUAGACGUUUAUAUAACUACAUAAAUAAUCAUAUAGUUGUUGAUGAACACACACAAAAAAAAAUUCUUGUCAUAUAUAUAGGAGUUAUUUUUCAUGGUUGUGUUUUUGUUCGUUUUGACCAAAUCUUUCGCAAUCUCUUAACUAUUAUAAUUGAAAUGAACGUAUUUACUAACUAAAACAUAUGGAAAGGUCACAAUAUGGUUUUAAGAACGUGUACAAUAUUAACAAAUCAUGAAAAGUUUGCAAUAGUUUGUUGCAAAAAUAUCGAGAUAUGGUUGUGUCGACCGACUCAUAUCUACUGCUUCAGUUAUGUCGGAUCCAAAAUUUGACUAUAACUAUUCACAGUAAAGGACACAAUAUGAUUUUUACAACGUGUGGAAUAAAAACAAAUCAUGAAAAUUUUGAAAUAAUUUGUGGCAAAUAUAUCGAGACAUGGUUGAUUCGACCGACUAUAUCCACUGCUUCAAUUAUGUCUGAUCUAAAAUUUGAUUAUAACAUUUUUCACAGUACUAUACGAAAUAAUAGUUGUAGAUCUUGGGAAACGUUAGGCAAAGAAUCUAAACAAAAACAAUAAAUGAUAAACAUCCAGAAGCUAAAUUUACGGGGUAAAGACAAGAAAACAAUACUAGUACUACAGAAAGCUUAGAUUAUUUCUUAAAAAUAAACAAUGCACAUUCAAACAGCUGGUGGAUUUGUAGAACGAAUCAACGAGUGUUUUGUUUUCUGUCAACCAAUGAGUCUUUAUAAUUAGUAAUAAAUGUUGAGGACAGUCGUAUUAAUAAACAAAAAGUUUCAUACAAAUCAUAAAUGGAUUGGCCAAUGGCUACAUCGUAGAUGACUGGAAGAUCGAACAAACAGCUGGACUUUUAGAAUUAAGAGGCUUUAAUAUCAAGGCCAUCUAUAAAACCGAUUAUGAAUUGUACUAAGACUGUUGAUAGAUAAAAAAAUUUUGUGGAGUAGAUAUACAAAAGGCGAAUAUCAAAGGUCAUCUGUACAACUCUUUAUCUAUUUCUGUUAAGAGUUGUACAAAAGGCAAAUAAAAUGGUCCCAAGCUUAUCAUGUAAUCAUGUUACACCGUUUACUAUUUUUUUUGUUUCUCAAUCCAGAUAGUCAUAUUUAAAAAUGAAGCUACAGAAAACAUAUUUCCAGUUUGAUCUUAUUUAUAUGGACAUAUGGGUCGGGUCAUACUUAUAAUAUUCAAAUGAGACGUUUUAAAUGCUAAAGAAUUUAACGUGAUAUAAAUUAGGUUGACAUGAAAUAAAUUAGAAAGAAAUCUAUAGUACAACCUGAAGAAAAUAGAUAAGAACGCAGCUUUCUUUAAUAGACACAAGAGUGGAGUGAUUAAAGAACCACAUGUAGGUGUAAUACUAUCACAUAUGCAUGUAUAUGUAUAUAUGUAUUUUGACUAUUUUGUGUAACCAUGCAUUUUAAUUUAUACUGCAAUCCAGUACCGCGUUACGAGAUAUUAUUGAAACCAGUCACAUGACAUGUAUAUCUCCGUAUAUCCAAAAGAUGACAUGAGAUUAUUGGAGUAUUGUUUACCAAAACAAUACUAAUCAUUUGAAUUUUAUUCGACAAAUGCCACAACCCAAUGAGAGAUGUACUACUAAGCACACUAACCCUAAAACAUAAAUAUUAUUAUUAUUAUUGAAUAAUUUAAUUAACAUAUAAAUGUAAAAAAAUAAACUAAAAAUAUUACGCGAAUUUCUAUUUUUUUUGGAGUAAUUUGUCUGUUGAUUUAUAAUCCUUUUUCUAUUUUAAUUGUAAGAAGAUCUCGUUGAUAUUAAAUUAUUAAUGAUGGUCUAACUACUAAAAUCCCAAAAUAGAAUUUUUCGAACAUGCUAAUUUGCAAAUUGCUUCUUAAUUAAAUGACUAAAAUACCCCAACUUAGUUACAACUAUCCACAAAUUUCAAAACUACCCUUCACUCUUCUAUCGUACUCAACUCAGCCGCGUAGCAUUUCCUCUUCCGGCCACUACUACUGCUACCACCACCACCGUCAACGUUUCUCCCUUUCCUCCUUACCCGACCUGAUCCCACCGUAUCAUCACCGGAGCCAACGUUAAGACGAUAUUUAUCAGAGACGACAACAUGAUCGAUACACUUCCGGCGACAACUUCCUCCACCACCACCACCGCUUCUCAUGAGAGCAGAGCUAGCUUUAACGGCCAAUGCAGCCAUCUCCUCCGCUUUAAGUGGCUCCCGAAGCCAACGAAGAGGAAGAGCGAAGUAUAUCUGACCAAGCUGAAGCUCCUCUUCGGCGCUAAUAGCUGAAACGGCGUCGUCGAAGUCCAUAUCGUCUGAGUUACAGAUAAAACACAUGGGAUACUUCUGCAAAACGUAUCCAACUUUCACAGGGUUCGCAAACUCCAUCAUCUUCCCGUCUUGCAAUAUCAGUUUUGCCGACGCAACUUGUGUCGACUCACUUGAACUGCAUAUACCCAUAUAUGUAAGUGUUAGUAUGAUUCUUGGUAACUUGUUGAGUUGACUCGUGAGUCGUGACUCGUUUUCCGGUGAAAGAAGGGAUUAUUGAGUGGAGAAAAUAAUGUGGAAAAGAAAGGGAGAUUUGUGUUAUAAAUAGACAAGAAGAGUUUGUGUUACAAAAAAUUGGAAGCCACGUAGGACAUUGUCGUGUUGUAGACCAGUAGAAGAGUGAUGACAGGCUGUAUAAGUGGUGGGGAGGAUGACAGCUUUGUGAUGUUUAGAUAUUACCCACUAUACUUACCAUGUCAGGAACUGAAACUUAACCACUAUGACUUUCUUCUCUUAUUUUCUCUUGUUCGAUUACGUUUCAAUCUUAAAUAGAACUGCUUUCGUGUAUAUAAAAAAGUACCUACUCUACACUAUGCUCUAUAUAAUUUCUAUCUAGUCUUUUAGCUUAUAGCAGUAACAGUCAUAUAAAUAUAUGUGUCUGUGUGUGUGUUUUACCUACUCUACACUACUCUACAAAAUCCAAGAUAAAAGAUAGUCGUUGUUUAAAGAAAAUAAGAGUAUAAGACCUCCUAUAUACAGAAGACAUGGAACGGUAAUUGCAAGAAAUCGUUGAACAAAGAUAUCUCGGUCAAUUAAAAAUACUUGUAGUAGCUUGUCUUACCACGAUAUCUUACUAAUGAAUAUGAGCACACUUGUUUUUUUUGUGAAUAUUAUGAUUUAUGAAUGUAUUUUGAACAGAUAAAAUUAUCAAUCUACUAACUUGGUGUCAACAUUAUUUAACAUCCUGCUUUAUGAUAAAGAAUAUUGAAGUGGUCACGACUUGAGCUAAAUAGAGUAAGUACUUUUUGCGGCCAUGGUAUUACGUAUACAUUGCAAGCAGACUUGUUUGCGGUUUUGGUUUUCGUUUACCAAGUUGCGUAAUGACUACUACUUUACCUUUAUAGUUUCUAUGUAGAGGCAUUUGCAUAAUCAAAAGUGAAGGUGGGAGUAAGGAAAGAAUAACAUAAUUAAAUAAAUAUCAAGUAGUUGUUUUAAAUUGAUUUUUUUUUUUGCUAAAUUAAAUUGAUUUUAUUGUGUUGAUAGAUGUCAGUAAUCGGUUUAACUUGAGUACAUAUCCACAUUAGCAAGAAACAAUAUAAAAAUUAAUUAACCAAUAUAACAGACCGUUAAUCGAUAAGAAAACAUCUUAUAUAAACUUAUUUUUCGAGUACAAGAGGGGUAAAACGAAGCUUAACAUUAGUUUUUUAUUUAGAAACAUAAAGCACAAGCUUAUCAUAUUUUAUUAAUGUGUGAGCUCGGUGAAAACAAGUUGUAUAGAUUUUAAACAUGAUUUUUGGGCAAUUAGAUAGUAAUAUUCCCCAUCUUAGGGUAUGACUGGUGACCAAAAAAGAAUGUUCGGGAAUAAAAUAGCAGGAAUGAAAAGGAAUCAACAAUCAUGUAUUUAUGUUUUAGAAAUAAGUUUACAUCUUAUAUAAACUUAAAAAUAAUGAUGGGGAAUAUUACUAUCUAAUUGCCCAAAAAUCAUGUUUACAUCUUAUAUAAACUUAUUUUUCGAGUACAAGAGGGAUAAAACGAAGCUUAACAUUAGUUUUUUGGUAGAAACAUAAAGCACAAGCUUAUCAUAUUUUAUUAAUGUGUGAGCUCGGUGAAAACAAGUUGUAUAGAUUUUAAACAUGAUUUUUGGGCAAUUAGAUAGUUCUCGGUUUUGUUAGUAGUAUCUCUUGGAAUCAACAAUUCAGUAAACUCGUAAAGUAACGAAUGGAUUAUUAUCAUACAAAAACUUAUAGUCUAAUUAAGCUGAUUAAACCAUUGAUGAUAAUGUCACUGCGCAAUCUUUGUCUAUUGAACUUCUAUGUCUCAUGUUUCUUCUAGGUUAGGUUAACUUCGUCCUAAAUCAUAAGAUUUUUUAUUUGUCACCAGAAAAGUAGUGUUCCAUUUUUCGGUUUUUAUGAAAUUUGUCGGGUUUGGUUUACGUAUAGGUUUUAUACCACAAAAAAAUAAAUCAUAGUAAUAUAUUUAAGUUGUCCAAAAAGUAAUAAAGAUAUAAAUACAUGUAGAAGGAGGUGUGGCCUUAGCUGAGUGCUGAUAGUCCACGGAACAUAACUAGGGAGUAGGGAGAUAGUAAGAAAGAAGUGUAAUGAGAACGACGUGGCUUAAUAUGCUUACAGCCACGUGUCACACUAUGGAGCCAUAACGGUUCCAUAAGAAUCCGACAAUUUAUUGGAGUUGGCGUAAACUUGUUUAGGUUCCUGGUUGCCUAUUGACAUGACUCGUUACUGUUUCUGCUUGAUGAUAUGAUUUUAUGUACAACAAGUUUAAAUAAGAUCGUUAUGUAUGGUUUGGACUUCAGAAUCAUGUGCACUAUUCAACUUCUUUUAUAUUUUAAGUGAAAAUUUAGAUUUUGGGUCGGGUCGGUCAAUAUGUGGUUAAUUGUCAACUUUCACAACGAUGCCAACCAGGCAACCAGCAAUUAAGUUGUGUUUAGCUAAAACUAUUAUUUUCAUGUGUUUUUUGGGUCAAACGACGGCUCUAGUUUUUGUAACUAUAAUAAAUGCAAUUUGAUUACGGACUAAUAAUCGUCGUUACAGGCUGAAAUCGGUCAGCUGAACUCUUACGGUUGAUAUAAACUAUGGAAAUUAUGCUCAAUAUGCAUGCCUUGUACGACAAGUUGAAGUAGUUUUGUAGUAAAAAUCCACCGAAUGCUAUUCGUUCGCUAUUUAUUGAUAUUAUCCUUCUUAGUAUAGUUUUCCAUUUUAUUUUUGAUAUAUGUCUUACCAUUAAUCCGGUUGAUAUCAAUGUAUUGUCAUCAUCCAACCAAUAUUCGGUCUGAAUUUUAUCAUUGAUUUCUCUGGUAAUCGUAAUUGACAGAUCUUAUCGGAUUAGGUUAGUUUUUCAAGAGCUUGUUUUUGCAUUUUUGAUGCAAUGUACUAUAUCAACUGUUAUACUAUUGUAUUUUGAUAGACAAUAUUAAAUAAAAGAAACCUUAGACGAAAAAUGAUACACGAGAUAAAUCUCUUUUUUGUCAAUUGUACUCAAGAUAAAUCUAAGUACUAUUUAUAUCAUAUAUAUUUUGAUAAAAGGAUACUCAGAUUGUAAGAGCAUCCCCAUUAUUGAGGGUUCAUGGGAGGAGUUCACACAAAAAUCAAGAAAAAAUAAUAAUAAAAUAAUUCAAUCCCAUGAACCCCUCUCUCCUAAAGUUCUCUUGGCUGAACCCCUCUCUCCUAAAGUUCAUCACUGUAGCACGGGCCCCACGUGUCGUGGCGGCCCGCGAUUGGUCUAAUUUUUUUUUUUUUUUUUUUUUUUAAACCAAAAAGAAAAAGAAAAAAAAAUUAAUAAUAAAAAACUGAAAAGAUGAACCCCAAGAGGGGGUUCAUUGAUGUGGAUGCUCUAAAGAUAAGUUUGAUAGAGUAUAUUAAUAUUGUGUACGAGCUAGAUUAGAGACAAAUCAAUUGAGGUAAAUUAUUUUCAGCUAUAACUUUUUUAUAACUUUUAUUAGCCAUACAAAUAAUUUAGUUUUCUUAAAAUUUAUAUGUUUACAACUCUAUACGAAUAAGAAGAGAAAACUGAAAAAUAAAUGUAAUUCUAUUUAGCAUACUAUCUCUCUUGCUCAUUCAAAAAUGGCCAGAUGUAUAUUGUCAAAUAUUAAGUCAUCUAAGAGCAUCUCUAAAAUAGAGAUUGCUAUUUUCUCCUCUAUUUAUAGAGGAAAAAAUAGCAUUCUUCUAUAUUUUGCUCUAUAUGUAGAGAUCUCUAUUUUAGAGAAAUACAUUGGAGUAAAACUCACCUCUAUUAUAGAGUUCCUCUAUUUUAGAGGUAAAAAUAGAGAAAUACAUGGGAGAUGGUCUAAGCGAUGUGAUUAAGCUGGACUGUAGAACUCGAAGUAAUGCUAGUUAGUCGCAAUACACUCAUAAUCUGCGUUUUAUAUUUCUUUUGUACACAAUAAUGUCUUUGUUCUCUUUUAUAGAUACUUGCGUCGUAAUUACGUGUGAUUGUUUUUAUUUUGUGUAUAUAAUUUAAAAUAAACAUGUGUUCGCAAAAAUGUUUGUAUAUGUAGAAGAAAGAGGAACGUCACAUGCUCCAUGCUUUUGUGUGAAGCUUCAUGGAUGCUCUGCUCUCACCGUCUCAGCCCAUAAAAUGAGAAGAUUGAACCAAUCAUCACCUCUUUGGCUCACAGCGAAAGAACGCUUUAUUGGACUUCCAAAACCUUUUCUUAUAAUAUCGUUUUACAUCAGUAUAUUAAACCAUCAAAUUACACAUAUAUCAUUAGAGAGGCAGUAUUAUAUUUGAUUCGUUAUAGCCUUAUAGGUGUUACCAGUUGUGAAUUAAAGAUGGUUUGUUUUUUUGUUGCCUCCUUAUAAUAGUUCUAAAGUUUUCAGUAGAAAAGAGUUUUAGUCCCGUUUGCAAAUUUUACGUGCUAUAAGUAUGUCAUUUCGUAGCUAUGUUAUGAAUUUGGCUAAGAUUCAAUUUAUUCAGAGAUUUUAAUACUUUUAUAUGGGUCGAAAACGUGAAAAAUCCCGUUUAACAUGUCCAUAUGUACCCUUUUUGUUGUAUUUGAGCAGAUUACAAAUUAUUUCUCGAAUUUGUAUUCACAUCAGAAUAAUUAAUCAUCUUAAUAAAUUUAGUCAAAACCAAGUAGCACUCAUGGCGCGUCCCUGCAUUUCAGAUUAUCCAGUUCAAAUUCUCCAGGUAACACACGUGAUACAGAGAACUUAAUAUAUUUAGCAAUACUUAGCAACAUUUUCCUAAUCUGACCACGCAAACAUGAAUAAUUAAGUAGAAUCUACACACUUGAGAAUUAUACUGGAAUAUGCAGUUCUUCGAUUACACCCGCCCAAAUACGACGUAAAUAUAUUGUACACCAUAAUAAUUUUUGUAAUCAAUAUGAACAUCACAGAAAUGUCAAAAAAACUUCACGGAAAUUUUGUUCCAACAAUAUAUUUUUGGGACGUCUAACAUACAUAACCAUUAGACUGGACUAUAAUAACUAUCAGUUGCAUUUUAAAACAUGGUGUUAACUAACUAAUAUCAACAUAUUUUGGUAGAUUAGUAGAUUAUGGAUCAUAAUUUAUGCUAGACAGUGUUUUUUUCUUUGAGACAUUUACUUAACUACUUAUUAAUGAAAUACUCUCCACAUUAUUCUGUUUGUGUAAUUGUUAUUCUUUUUCCAUCAACAAAGAAUGAUCAAAGUUAAUUUGUACUUUUGAUAAACGGGAGAAAUAAAAAAAUGACGAAGAGAACAAAAACAAACGGUUUAACUAAACAUCACUUGGUGUUGAUCUGAAAGAGUUCAAGUUUUGGUAUCAUAAAAAGGAAAUAUAUUUCAACAAAAAAAGGAAAUAUAUAUACUAAUUAACUGAAAAUCUUGAUCUUGGUCUUGAUAUGAAAGUGUUAAUUAGCUAUUCCAAUUUAUUUAAAAGAUGGAACAAGCAAAAACACCAAGCGACAAAACGACAUGGACUCAAGUACUUGGGGGAAAAUAUUCAUAUGCUCAAAUCUUAAUUUUUUUGUAUUGUUAAUAAAGCUAGAAGAAAUGAUUCAUACGAUAUGGAAUAUGAUUGUCUUGGGUCGUGUUUAUUAUUUUUUGACCCAAUAGUGGGACUCCUUUUUGUCCAAAAAUUUCUUGUUUUGUUCUUUAGAUUCAUUGAAAAAAACUCAUACUUGUCAUUACGAUGAAGCUUCCCAUCUUAUAACUUUCAUAUAAAUUUAGAAUCAAAAGUUUCAUCAUCAUGCAAGGUUGUCUUGGCCCUCAAUCUUUAAUUAGUUAUUAUCGCUUAAGAAUCCUUCAUGAUAAUGGGUCAUAAUAAAAGGUAUCAGCUAUUAUUGUUUCGGUCUUGAUUUUGCUGAACAUUAUAUUCAUAUAUCAAUGAUUUGUGAUAUAUAAAGUUUAGAGUAUUUUACAAUAGAGUACUUGUUCAAUGUUAGAUUCUUAGCAAAAAAAAAAAGAAUAAUUGUGUACAAGAUUCCAAUGGCUUUGUGUAAGUAGAUUUUGCUAUGAUCAUCAGGUUUAAAUGGUAACGAUAUGCAUUAUUAUGGCUAAUAUAUACUAUAUAUGAUUGAUGAUUGAGGAGUUCAAAUUUAUUAAGACUUAUCCUUUGUAAAACUACUAAACCUUAAUAUUAUUUAAAACUUCCUUUAAUGUGAUUUUAAUUUAAAAAAAAACAAAUAAACUUUUAUUCAUGUACGUUUUGAUUUGAGUAUCUAAGAAAAUCUGUAGGAACUUACGUACGGAGCAGAUGAAUCUAUACGUGCAUGUACUUGAACGAGCCGGUGCCUUUUAUUAAUGAACUAGGUAACAACCCGUAAAAUGUCAUUAUUAGUUUCGUUAUUUUUUAAUAAAAAAAUAUUAAUCUGUUUAAUCUGGAUAUCAAUUCAGUUUUAGGUUGUUUUUUUUUUGUUUUUAAUCUCCUAAAAUAUAACUAUCAUUUUAAAUCAAUAUUUAUUUAGUUUAUUCGGUUAAAAUGUUUGAUGUUUUUGGUUUUUUUUUUUCUGAUAAUCAAAAUUACUAUUAUUUGUUUAUUUUCAUUUUAUGAAUCUUAGAUAGUCGUGAUGUUGAACCAAUGGUUAUAUAUUAUAGUUUCUAAAUGGAUAAUGCUUAAAAAAAGAAAAGAAAAUUAUUAAGACAAAUCAUACUACAAUUUCGUCGAUAGUGAAAGAAGCAUUAAGAAAAUAAUAUUAUAACUUCCAAAAAAAUUAGAUAUUUUAUUUGUGGUAAAUACUUAGUUAUAAGGUGUUCACGUCAAUGUGCAUAUGUAUGUGUAUGUGAAAGUAUAUAAAGAUGGUUGAUAAAUAUAUAAAGAUAAUGUUAAUUAAUAUUAAAUGAUAUUUUUUUCAAAAUAAUAUAUGAAAAAUAAAUUCUUGAAAUGAAAUUAUUUUAAAACAAAAAUAUUGUAAAAUUUAUAUAAACUAUAAUAUGUAACUUAUAUAUAAUUCUUUAAAUAUAUGUAUAUAUAUAUGCAUAUAACUGAUCAAAUUUAAUAUCCGUUCCUAUAAAUAUUGAUAUUUGUGAUUUGUUUUUUUUUACGGAUAUUGCAUUUUAGUAUUUUUGAUUUGCUUCAUAUAGUAAUGGAUAUCCAAAUUUUUUGGUUCGAAUCAAAACGGAUAACGAAUCGAAUCAAAAUUUAUGAAUAAUUUGUCCAGCUAUAUUCGUAAACAGUAAAAAUAACGUAAAGAGGAACCAUGCAUGUGAAUUUUAUAUUAAAAAAAAACGUAAAGUACAUAGUGUGAACGUAUUUAUGUAGAGUUUGACUAAGAAGUUUUCUACAUGUGACAUGCGUCUAUUUUAGUGUGUACGCAUUUAUUACAAUGCUUCUACACGUAACAUGUGUCCAGUUUAGUGCGAACGUAUUUAUUACAGUGUAUCUCCUUUAAUAUAUAAGGGAUACAAACGUUUUUAAUAUCCAUAAAUCGGUUCUCAUCUAUAAACAAAUGAAAUGUUAAAAAAUUCAUUAUCACUAAUCUAAUUAAUUGGAUUCAUCUGUAUGAAUGCAAAUACUUGUUCAAUUCCAGAUAUUUGCAUUCCAAAUGAGAUUUGAGACAGACACUUAGGAUUUUGGAUAUGGUUUAGAUCUAUAUGCGUCUCUCCCAUUUUUUAUGAGAAUUUACACUUACUCAAAAAAAAAAUACACUUACUCAUCUAAUAGUAUCGAGUUCAAAAAAAAAAUCAUCUAAUAGUAUCAUAGUUCAAUACUAUAUUUGUUGCUGUUAACUGGAACUGAUUUUUAUAUUAACUUUAAACAUGAACUAGAUUUUGACCCGCGCAUGAAAUCGGGAAUUAAUUAUUUUAAAUAUAAUUUAAAAAAUAUAAAUGCAUGUUAGUUAUUAAUAAGUUUGAGAAUUUUAUUCUCACAAAACAUACCAAAAAUUACAGGCUUUGUUCGGCCAAAUCUAGGUUAAAAUACCUACUAGAUAAAAAAAAUUGACCUAUGGGUCUUGUUUGGGGUCUAUGUCCUAUCCGAGAUCCCAUCAAAUAUUUGAAUUACCUGAAUUUUUUUGUAUACAUUAGUUAUAUGAUAUAUCUGAGUAUUAUAGUAUAUUUUAGUAUUAUAAAUAUUUUAGUAUGUUUCGGGGUAGGGUUUGCGGUUAUGGUUUUGAGUUUAGAAUAAAAUUUCAUAUUUUCAGAAAUAUAAUUUAGGUAUUUGGGUAAAUAUUUUGGUAGUUUCGAGUCCUUAAAUUAGGUUUUGGAUAAAAUUUUGGGUAUUUGAAUAUUUUAGGUAUUUUCGAGUUUCAGAUCCAUUUUGGAUCUUUUUCCAAUCUUAAAUAUUCAAAUAUACCAAAGCAUAUACUCGAAUACUCAAAUUAAAGUUUGCAUGUAGCUUUUUGAUUUUAAGAGCCACAAUUCGAUUAAAGGAAUAAUAUAGUUUGGUAUAUUGGGAUAAAUCAUGAAACAGGUUUAGAGAUGAUGAUAUUUUAGUAUAUUGGAUUUGUGCAUAUGUAUAAUUCUUUGGUCCACUUAGUCUACGUCUAAAAAGAUGAUUUAUAAACUUGGUUCACCGAAUUUAGUCGAGUAAUAAUUAAAAAUUAAGUUAGUUGAGUACUAAUUAAAAAAUGCUAGGAUUAAUUAUAUACAUUGAAUGUUAUAUAGUUAGAAAAAAUAUAAAGUAGGACUAAAAAAUAAUUACUUAAUAAAAGUGUGCAACAACUUCUUAUAAGUAGAUUUUUGGGAAUGAUUCUUUUUUAAUAGUAUAGAUAGAAAUUUUGUUUAAGCAAUUAAUUUAAAAUAUUUGGUUAUAUAGGCUUCGACCUAGCUAAUGGUUAUAUAAUUAUGAUAAUUUCGACAUGAUCUACUGUUUUGCGAUUUAAUUUGUAGUAAACGGAAUAAAAAUAUUUAAAUAAUAUGAUCUAUUCUUGAUAAAUAGGCUUCUGUGUGGACUCAUCAUAAUCGAAUUUGUUUUUUUUUUUAAUCUCAAAUUUGACUGCUCUCCUUCGAAGGUAGGCCUACUAGCUACAUGCAAUACGUCUAAUGUUCUUGCUUUAUUACUUUGAGAUUCCAUCACAAACUCAAUUACCAAAAUAAAAGAAAAUUAGAGUCUUAAGUUAAACAAGAAACAAAAGGAACCAGCAGUUUUUGCAUAAAUUGAGCCGAUAUUUAGAACACGCGGAACGAUUCUUUAUAGUGGAUACCAUUAUUAGAUAGCUAAGUUGGUGUAUAGACUAAAGCUUUAUCCUUUCAAUGGCUAAUGUGAUUAGGAUAUCUAUGUUUCUCAUAUGGUCCACGACAGAUAUUAUAGUGGGAGAAGUUAUUGCAGUAAAGCUAAUAUAAAGUUGUGGAAUGUAUUACAAUUCGAAUAGUUCUUGGAUUGUAUUUUGAUAGCAACCAAUCAUAAUGUAAUCUAUAUCCACUAUGUCUAUUACUAGCCACAACUGAUUUUUUUUUCUGGUAACACCUUUUCUUAACAAUUGGUUCAUUUGAAAAUACCUUUCUAAUCAUAUGAAUCAAUUGUGUUAAUCUCCUUUUGUUUGCGGGGACCUUUUGUUUGCGUCUUACAUUUGUGAUUACAAACAUUUUGAAGAAAAAAACACUACAAUAUUAUAAUUUCCUUUUUGAGUUAAUUUAUCCAUGCAAAAUAUAAUCACGAACGCAAAACGACGAUCGGAUGCUACGUGAUGUUACUUGCAGUAGCCUCAACGCAUUUUUGCUUUUUCUAUUAGCCAAUAGCCACCAACAUAACCCUUGUCCCUUGUUUUUUUUUUAAAAUUUAUUUAUUAAUCUACCCGAAGCUCGAGAAUUCGAAUACAAGCUUAAAUCGAACAAAACAAACUAAUUCAAACUUUGCAUGUUUAGCUUCGUUCAACCACCAUACCGGCACAUUCUGCUAAACCGCUACGCAAUCCUUAGAAUAUUAUUUUCCGUUCUCUACCGUUGAUGUAAAUCACUAAAGUUUGGCGUUCACCUUGUUGCUUCGGUUGCCGGUAACUCUUGUGACAUCGUCAGAGUAGUUGGGUCACGAUGAUCUCUUUAAACUUGCAAUCUACAUUGGCAUUAACGCCCUAGGCACCGAAGGUCGGGAAGUAGAGAGAUAGCAAACCUGUAGAGGAGCCAUCGAAACCUCACACCUCAAAACCCCACAAGCGCCAAACCGAACAAAACCGGGAUGAGAUGAGGCUGCAACUAGAGUCGGGAUCUUCGGUUCCUGCAAAAAACGAAGGGGUUAAUCUGCCACGACGACCAGGCAGCCACCACAGCACUGGGAUGACUAAUCCCCAACCAAGUCUCCUCGCCGAAAGCAAACCCGACUGACCCAAUCGAGCUUACAAAACGACGCCUUGUCCCUUGAGUCCCUUGUUAGUUGUUAGUUAGAAUUUAAAUAUUUUUGGUCAUCAACCAGAUUUGAAUAUUUGUUUUGUGUUUACUUAAUCUCUAGCCAAUGUAUUAUUUGGGCUCUCAGUGGUUUGUUCUUUGUUAGCCCACCCACCUCUGUUCUAAAACUUAGAAGUCAAGGUUAAUCAAUAGUAUAGUCUAAAAUGUUCAAGAUUUCAUUCAACACACCAAGCAACACACACAUACAAACCCAUAUAUCUUACACAUCACAACUGAAUCUUCUUUUGUUUAUUGAAGAUUUUCCCAAACACAAAUGCUGCUAAAACACAUUAACAAAUGAAACCAACACACAUAAUGUUGAAGGUGUUUCCGGGCCAAUGAGUAGGAGCGACUUAGAAGAUGUUGAAAAAGAUGGUCCAAACUGGGUAAACGAGGAGAGCGACGAUCCCAAUAGUAUUGGAGAGUCCAUGCUUCUGAGUUAAAGCGUUUCUGAAUCCAUCAGAAGCUUUAAUGUGUUCAUGGAAAAGGUAACAUGCUAUGAUAAGACAUAUCACUGCCCCAACCCAACUUUCUCUUACUGUCCCAGCUAUGAGGCUUGGUGCAACCACCAGAAGAAGGAUCAGUGCUGCUGGAAUCUCCAACCAAUCUACAUGUUUAAAUUGAUUGAGAAGGGCCGAAAGUAUUAGGAUGAAAUUCAAGCUAAUGAUAAAAGUGUGUGUUAUGGACUUACCUGGAAAGUGUUUAGGGCAGAAAAGCCUUAUUGUGAUCGAAAUGAGAGCAAUCCAUUUCCCAAAAUCUCCCCUGUGAAAGUAACGAUUUUAGUUGUUAGAUCUUGACAACAAUUCAGCAUAACAUCAUCAUGCUAAAGAUUACUUGUUCUCAGGAUAUUUGUCUUGGUCUCCCAAAUUUUAAAGAACUAACAUAUAUAUAUGCUUUAGGUUCUCAAACUGUUAUUUUUACUAAAAUUUAUUUUAAAUUGUUUUAUAGUAUUCUAAGACUUAGGGUCAGUCCUAUUGGUUCCUUUAUUACCUGAAGAAGUUGAAGAUAACGUAAGGAAGUGUGAGAAAGAUGUAUGGAACCAAAAGGGUAGUCAACAUUUUGGUUCUCCAGUUGGUCCGAUCCAAUAUCAACAGAUAACUGCCAAAACAAACGAUACAACAUCAGUACAAUAGUGAUCUCAAAACCACAGAGGUUAACGGUUUGGUUUCUUUUGUUUUGACUAACAUGGCUGAGAUUGAAGCGGCCCAUUGGAGGAAAGACGUGCCAAAGCUUAAACCGCCUAGCAUCGUUGCAUCUUUCACGAGCUUUUUCGCGGCGUCCACAAACUCAUUCAAAUCGGAAUUGAUCAGGUUCGCCGCGGUUUCCUCCUCAGUCUUCAUGGCCAAAUAAUCAACUCUUCCCAUAUUGAAGUCUUUUUUUUUGAAACUUUAAGUUUAAAAUCUCUCACAGAAUACAGUUUUGAGUUAUAAGUUGUGACAAUAGCAGAGUAUUUAUAAUUGCUCUGUUUCUUUGAAACUUUCAGAUAAAUGAUUAAAAAGUAUAUGUUUAGUUACAUUUCAUUGGUGACAACUGUGUUUGAGUUUCGGAUAUCUCUAGAGCUGCUCGUCACGUAGGCUUCGCUGGUGACACUGAUCGAUGGUGGCUCCCCCAAGGGUCGCUCGUUUUCAUAUACAGCUCAUCUUCAUAUCUCCACAUACAUAGCGAAAUUUUCUACUAAUCAUAUUAAAUUCCAUAUUUUAAUUCUACAAGUAACCAACAUUUUCAAUAUAAAAUACCCUAUAAUCCAUUAGUUUACUAAAUUAAUAAACUAAAAAGAUAUCAACAACUAAGCCAGUGAUUCGCAUAUCUCAGCUGAUAAUUAUUAUCAGACUUAGUGCUAAUGAGAUUUUGCUUUUGUAACUAAACAAAAAAACAGCAUACGAAGGAAAGGCUUUCAAGUUUCAACGAUUAAAAAGCGUUUAAAGUACGGACCCAAUUACAAUAUAAGAACUCGAGAAUCUAAGUCUUCAAGGAUCCAUGAGGGUACACACCAAACAUUUUUCUCAGUUUCUCUUCUGCUAAAGCAUAGUAAUAAACAUUUUUGUACUUUUUUCACUUCACGAUGAGUUGCCAUCUGCUUUGUUUGAAGACUCGGGAGCUAGCUUCUUCGAUGGACUUGACUCUGCAGAGGUUGCGUUCAUCAAAACACGCUUCACUCCUCUCCCAACAACACCCAAAUGAGUAACACCUGAUGAUGAUGCUGUUCCUCCUCCUGCUGCACCGGUGUGAGCAGUGGAGACUGUAGGCGACUCUAAGUCUUUCCCGUUGUUUGCGGUUCCCAUCCGAGAAGAGCUCAUCUCACCAGCAACAGCAGGAACAACCUUGUCCCCAGCAUUUGGCUUAGCUGAUGCCAUGCCCAUCAGCUCAGCAAGAAGUUGCUUUGGGUUCUCUGCCUGUUGUUUCAAGUCCUCAAGCUGCAUGGAAUGAAAAAUGACAUUAGUAUGGGUUUCUACAGUUUUUUUUUUGACAACCGAAUGGUAAAUUUCACUUGCCUUCUUUUCAAGGUCUUCUGCCAGACCAGAUAAGACUCCGAUCUCAGCUUCUUUGUCUGAAGCAGACUUAUCAAUGUAUGGAACAUUGGAUGAUUGUUGGAUUCCUUCCUCGAUCUCAGAGACAGUUGAGGAAGUUGCUGAAGCAGAUGGACCCUUGAUCUCAUUAGUGAGCCUCUCCAUCCUAGCUUUGCAGAUUAACAGAGCCUUUUGACAAUAUGGUAUCGCUUCCUUAGGCUGGCAUCCUGUCUCUAGACAGAUGCAUAUGCGGAAGUUUCUAAAACGUUCAAGUUAAGUUCACCACAAUGCACGGAAAAUUUAAAAAAAAGCAAGAUCAUAUAUCAAAGGAUACAGUUCGGCUGUGUGUCUACUGUCGGGUUCAACAAGUCGCUCUAGGAUGGACAGAGCAUUCUUGUAGUCACUCAGCGAAGUCUCGAUGUCCUCUACGUUAUAUUAAACAAUUCAAAAUCGUUAAUGAGAAAAUGGGACGUUACGACGAUGAAAUAGGAGAGAAAUUAACCUCUCUCCAGGGAAAUUUCAGCAAGGGUAGAGAGAAUAUCCACUUUCUCCAUUGUAUCAGUUGCCUGUUUGUCAGUAAUAGCUCUUGCGAUGUCAAGCAUUUUCCAGGCCAUAUCCAAAUCAGACUCGUCUUCAUCGGCAUCAGCAUCAGAUAGGUCAUCGUCUUGACUAUCUUCACCAGCCUCUCCUUGCUCUUGACCACCAGAACCUGAAAAAAAAAGGAGAGAGAGAGAAGCAAUGCUCAGAAACAUUUAAAGACACAAUCUUUUUAUAGACCAAUUUGAGAGAUAUAAUAAGACACUGUAACCAAAAAGUCUGCUUCAACAUAACAAAAACGAGUCCUUUGCUCCAUCAACCAAAGGUUAUAUUAUGUGACACCAAGAAACACCCAUUGCAUUUGAAUCCAUAAACAUAAGGGCAAAUCUAUAGAAGUAAGAAUUCCAAAGUUCCAGACUUUCAGUACCUUCUUGGCCACCACUUGAACUCCCCUGUCUCUCCGGGUCACUUGACACAACAGACGCAGCCAAAGUUUCACCAUUUGCAGUGUCCUUAUCGCUAGACUCCUGCUGAGUUUCACCUUCUUUCUUAGGCAUGUUACCAAGCGGAUCAGCUUCAGCCUGGGCCUUCUCCAGUAAAGCUGAUCCAUAUUUGUAAUAAGCAUUAACACACUCAGCAGCAAGCUCACCAUAAUGUGCAACCCUAAACACACAACAAGCAACGCAAAUGAAAGUUCCAUUAAGUAAAUUCUCAAAUCAAAUCUUCCAGGAAUGUGAAAAUGGAUACCUAAUCUCUAGGGCGCGGCUGAAGCAAUCAACAGCUUCGGCGAAAUCCAUCUCUUUCAAGAACACAGAGCCUUUCUCAGUGAGUUCAUCGGCGAACUCGAGCGUCUUCUCACGCUCCUCUUCGGAAACGACAUCAGUAACAGCACUCUCCGCCGCGUUGUUGUUGUUACAGGACGAUUCAGCGCCGCCUUGAGCAGCGGAUCCGACGGUGGCUUCGAUCGAGGCUUGGUUAGGUUCUAGGGUUUGCGCGAGUUCCGUCACGGAGGCUUCAGAUGCUGAUGCUGCUGCUUCGUCAACCAUAGCUGAGUGAAUUUGAAAAUGGGAGAAGAAAGGAGAGAAACGCGAAAUUGAUUCUAACCCUAAACCCACACUCUUCGUUCUUUUGGCGGACUUAGCAAAAUAGUCAGUCAAUGUCGUGAAGGUUUUGUAAAAUGACUCCACGAAGAAUGUGGAUGUUGAUGAAGGUGAAGAUGUGGCCCAACUCCAAGGCCCAUCAUAGAUAGUUUUCUGGAUGAACCGAAUCAAUUCAAAAUUAUAAUUUGAUUGGUACAGUUUCUAUCAAAACGAACCAAAAUUUGGUUUUUACUAAAGUGACAAAUAAGUUUUAGUAACCCGCCCUUAUGUUUAUUCAUGCCUUUGUAAUUUCGUCGGCUCUGAAAGGAUUGUGAUCUUUGCCGGCUUUUGGCUCCGUAAGAAAUGUGUUCCUUGCCAGCUUGUAUAAAAACUUUCAUGUAGUACUCCAGUUCAAGUUUAAUGAAAUUCACAGAUGAUAAAAAAACAUGAAUCUUUAUCACAUAAUUUUUUUCUGAUUAGUAAAUGUUUAUUGUAUUUCUUUUAAUUCAUUUGAAGUAGUCUAAAAUAAACUUUUACAAAGAGAGAUACUACCCACAGAUGAUGUAUUCAACUGCCUAAUAAAACUAUGAUUACACUAGUUUAAUAUCUUGAGAUUGUUUCAAAUUAGGAUGGUUUAACUCUUCAAAAUCCGCCUAGAAAUCCGUGUGAAUUAAAUAAAAUUUUAUUUUAGACGCAAUUUUAUCAUUAGGCAACUUACUAAUCAAAAGCCAGAAUCAUCAAAAUUUAGAACAUUGGUUAGAAAGGAAAUGUAAAUAAUUUGGAAUUAAACAACAAAGUUUCAAAUUAUGUAGACAUGUACAAUAUCUACCAUGUGGUCGUGGGCUAUAAUGCUUAAGACUAAUAACAAUGGGGUUGUUGAAUUAUUUUUUUAAUAGUAUUGAUGAUUACAAAAGGACUGUUGAAAAAAAAAAUGUUGAUUCAUUGUUGUUGAAAUUAUUCACUCGUUGAAUACUUACAAGUUGGAUUCAUUUUUACUUUUUUUUAAUCUCAUCUUAAAUAUUUAAGAUUAUUUUUUUUUUAUAUUCUCUUCGUUCCUAAAUGUAAGAUAUUUAGAAAUUUUUUUUUGUUCUAAUAUAUAAGAUGUUUUCAUAUUUUUAGAUAGUUUUAACUUCAUCAAAAUCUAUAUAACCAAUCAAAUUUAAUAGUUCUCAUUUUUAAUUGGUUGAAUUAUUUUUAAUUUAUAAUUUUAAUGAUAGCUUUUAUAUAAAAAAUAUUUUUUUUAAUAUACGUCUUAUAUUUAGGAACGGAAGGAGUAAUAAUUAUAUUUUUGUAAAAAAAUAUAUAUUAAAAUUUACCAUUUUGUGUUUUAUAAAAAAAUAUUAAUUCAUUUGAUUCAAAUACAGAAAAAAAAAUAUUUUUACUAAACAAAUAAUGGUGGGUUAGUAUGUUAAAUUUUGUUAAAUGAAAGUAUUGUAGAAUAGAAGGUGGAAAAAUGUUAAAUUAAUAGGCGGAAAGAAAAAUAUGAUGUGUAAUGUUUUUUUGUAACACAAAAUGUGUAAUGUUAAAAUGUGUAAGAUAAGGUGUUUAAUCAUUUUUUUAUUUUAUUUUUUUGUUUAUAUCACCUAACUAUGCAAAUCUCGUGGUUUCAAACUACAUUAAUAGAUUCAUAUCAGUGAGUCAGUUUUUCUAGAUAAUACAUAUCAAUAAUUCAAUAAAGAAAAUCUCGAAUCGCUAUCUUGUCAUUUUAAGGCAAAAAAAUAAUAUAUCUUCUAGUACGAUUUUAUGCAAUAAUAGAUUCUUUUUCAUUAUUGGUGUUAAAAAAAAGGAUUCUUUUCAUUACUAUUCUCAAAUUGGGUUAGAUUGGAGAAAACGAAGCAUUACAAAAGACAAAGGUUGUGAUUGUCUUCAUCCUCUGUUUGCCAAGGUAAUUAUCAAACAGAUUGAUAGAUUUACUUUCACAAGACUGAGAUUAACUAUUAAACAAAAAUUUUGAUUGAUCAGUUUCCUCCUAUGAAGUAUUAUGAUUGACAGUAUUAUGAUUUUGGAUGCAUCAUCACUAUGCAUAGUAUUAUGAUUUGAUCUUUCAAAGCUCAAAAUCCACCACUUGUCUCUUCUUAUCAGACUCACCUCUCCAGCUACGCCCAUCAGACUUCUCCUCCUCCUCAUCAUCCUCUGAGAUAUGACUACCAUUAUUAUUGAACAAACCUCUACCAACAAGCGGGCUUUGUGGAGAACCUGAUCUUGACAAACUUAUUAAGCUCUGUGUUUCCCUAGGCUGAUCCGAGGAUGACAAAGGAUGCUUACGGAUAUGCAUUCUAUAUUUCUGCAAUAGCAUAUCAUUCCACACACUAUCAAAAUCAUUCAUUCACACAUCAAAGUUUUGAGUUUGUUAAAGAACUUUUAUUUACUUGUAAAUGGCUCUUGACUUCAUCAUUGGUUAAACCAUCAACUUUCAUCUCAUCUCUAAUCUGCUUUGGUGUGGCCACUGGUAUCACAACAACAGCAUAAUCUCAGUAUAACCAAUUAAUGGAGAAUUGAGUUACAAAGUUGGUUCCUUUUUUUUUUGAUUAAGGACUAACCUUGUGACCCUCCAAUCCUACGAAGAGCAUCAACGAAUCUCCGGUGAAGAUCCUGUGACCAUCUCCUUCUCUGCUCUUUCUUCGGAAUGUGGUGAUGACUCUGUAAAGGUUUGUUGAAUUGAUGAUUCUGCUCAGUUCUGUUACAGUCCAUCAUCGGAGUCAUGAGAGGCAGAGGAGCUGGAGGAGGCUUAAAUGGCAGAAAUGCCCCUCCCUGAUUAAGGUUAUUACAUGUCUGAAAUGGAGUCUGAGUCACACACCGAUCUUCUUCUUUAUUUGUCUGUAAGAAAGAAUAAAAAAAAACAGAACAUGAUCAAAGGUUAAUUAAGAUCAGACAAAAACAUAAAAAGGUUUGAUUUUAAUUGUGAAUUACCGAGUUAGAGUUGGAGAUCCAUAACUGGGCAGAGCUCAUCCAGUUCUUCUUAUAAUCAUUUUCCAAUUUUGACCCUUGACCCACAUCCAAUUUACCAUUUGAUGCCAUCAUCACUGAUGAAGCCUCUUCCUUUAACCUCUCAAUCGCUACACAGAGGAAUCAUUUUGGUUAUACAAAAACACACAAACAAAAUUGAGAAUCGAGAGAGAAAGAGAGGCACCUACCUUCGUUCAAUAAGAGCAUGCAUAGAGGAAGCUCCCGUUUAAAAACAUCGAUUUUUUUCCUCUCUUCCUCCAAUUUUCCGACAUAAACAUCGAUCUCAGACAGCUUCGAAUGAUUGUCUUUGAUCCUCGACACUUCAUCGAGAAAUUGAGAUAAGGGUUUUGCAAUAGAGUACAUGGAAAGAUUCAAAUUAAGACUCAUCCUUCGAUCCUUAUCUGUCUGAACCAUCGAAAGCUAUAAAUACAGAGAAUGCUAAAAGACAAGGCGUUUAUAUAGAACAAGUGAGAUAACAAGAAGAAGAGAUUAGGGAAGAAGAAGAAGGACGCGGAGAAUUGUAACCGCUGUAAAUAAGUGGAAUCUCGAGGGCGUUUGUGUAAACUGCUUUAAUUAGAUUUGUCUUUAAAUGGAAUGAAGAAUCUUUUUGUGAUGGCCUAUACACACGCGGCGAAUCGUUACACUAACUUGUAUAUUUAUUCUCUUUUUAUUUAUUUAUUUUUGAUUCUUUUCCAAUUUUAAUAUCCAAUUUUAGGAAACUUAUUACUAUUUGAGUAUUCUCUAGUGCUUAUUGUUCAAGAUUCUCAUAUUCCUCUAUCUUGAAGUUAAUGUUUUCCAUUUUAGAAAAAGGAUUGUGAAAGAAUGUAUGGUGGUACUAUACUAUUUUAUGCAUAACCAAUAAGGUUGUACAAAUCUCACUGAAUAUAUGUUUUAUAAGAAAUAAUGGUAAAUGGAGUAUUAUAUAUAAUAUGUUGUACUUUGAUGAUUGACUUUAAAAAUUAGAUUCUUAGAGCAUCUCCAAUAUAUUACUUCAUAUUUUAUUCUAAAAUGGUGCAGCAGUAAAAUAGAGUAAAGUUUUACUCUAAUGUAUUACUCUAUUUUCUACUCUAAAAAUAAUAUAUUUUAUUAAAAAUUGUUAAUAAUACUGUAUAGUUAUACAAAGAUAAUAAUUAACCCCAACUAUUUUACGUUUACAAAAAUUAUUUAAAAUAUAAUUUAUUUAAAUUAAACAUUUAUUAUUAAAAAGUACAAGAAAUCAUAAAAAUAAAAUAAAAGACAAUAUAUAUGUUGGUUUAAUAAUGGCAUUAGAAUAUUUUUCUCACAAAUGAUCAACUAAUGCAUUUCGUAAUGAAACAUAGCUUCUUUAUCUUUGAUAUUCCUAAAUCGAACAAGAAAAUUUUGAAAGCAGACAUUUUCAUCUUCUGCAAUUUCGAUAUCUUGAUAUCUGGAGGUGGAGCUUCUCUUACAAGUUCAGUUGGUGCAUCGAAUUCACGCUCAUCCUCAAUUAUCAUGUUAUUUAAAAUUAUACAUGUAGUCAUGUAACACAUUUUUUUCCAAAACCGAACAGGUCUUUUUACAAUAGUGAAACAUAAUUGUAGAUCUUUUUAUGUUAUCUUUAUUUUAUAUUAUUAUUAUUUUUUAAUUAUAGUAUAUACUUUUAUGUAAAAUUAUUAAAUAAUGGAAUAUCUUGUUUAUUUAUGUUAUUGUAUCAUUUUAAAAUAUUAUUGAAGUAAAAAAAAUAAAAAUAUUAAAGAUUUAAAAGACCAUUUCAGAGAUAAAAAUUUCAACACCAAAAUGGAGUAAUCCUAGCCAUUACUCCAUUUUGGGGUUGAAAAUGGAAUAGGGUUGGAGAAGAUUUUACUCCAAAAUAAUGUUUGGAGUAGAAAGUAGAGUAGGUUUGAGAUGCCCUUAGAAACAAAACACUAGGUGUCAAGAUAUAUACAUGAUUGGGUGUAUAAUAUUAUAGAGAUUGAUUUGAACUUAUUUCUAUAUUAGUUUUUUAUAUAUAUAUAUAUAUAUAUAUAUAUUUAUUCUGAAAUAUAAGGAAAAAUAGCAGUCAUAUUAUCGAAUAUUAAUUUAAAUAUAAUUUAAAAUUUAAAAUAAUUAUCAUUAUCUUUAUAUCAUAAAAUUAUGUAAAUUUUGUAUUUUCAUAAAAUUUGCAUAUGCAAUUUUCACAUUUUUGAAAAUUAAUACAUAGCUUACAUAUCUUGUACCAUGCUCUAUAUAUAUUUUAAAAAUAAUUGCACCAUGCUAUAUAACGUGUACACUGUGCACUCUGCUACACAACUUAUGCAUCAUGUAGCAUGCUUAAGUAUCUUUUUUUUUUUUUAGAAAGCAUGCUAAGUAUCUUGACAUUAUGCAGUAUAUUAUGCAACUUACUAUGUCACAUACAUUUUUUUUAUAAACAGCUAUGUACGUAGUUUGCCAAUUAUAGAGACAUAGUCAACUAUAUACCAAAUAAACAAUGAUCAUAUAAAAGAUUUGUAACAGUUUUUACCAAAUUUUUUUUUUUGUAACAGCAAAGCCCUUUCUCAAAAAAAGAAAAAAAAAUUGUAACAGCAAAUUAUGAUUGAAUAGGAACUGAAUUACCGAACAUAAGAAAAAGGAAUUACUGAACAUAAAAAUUGUGUUUGUAAUAUCUAUCUCAAAUAUGGUGUGAGCAUCUCUAACCAUACUAUAUAAAUAUGGUGUGAGCAUCUCUAACCAUACUAUAUAUUUUCUGCAAAAUGAAGUCAGAAAUGAAAUAAUGAACAAAAAAUCAAACAUUAUUCCAUUUAUACUCAAACCUUGUUUUAAUGGAACAUAAUCACUCGUAUGUGGCGAUGAUACUGUCGAUUUUUUAAUUUAAAAAUCAUUGUAGAGAAACCCCCCCAAAAAAAAGGUUAAAAAAAGGUUAAAAUUCGGCAGUCUCGUUUACUAUACACCAUCCAUUUACAUUCACAUUAAGAUACAGUUUAAAGAAAUCACGUAACCAUUGAAAUUAUACUAUAACUUUAGAGUGCUUUUCAUGUGUUUGGUUGCUUAUCUUUUGCGCUUUGUUUGUCUAAAUUUCUUUAGUGGAUUAUAAGCAAGUGGACAUUUCAUAUGGAGACUCUUAAUCUCGACCCGCCGGACAUCCUAGUCAAUCAAAAAAAAAUAAUAACGGACUAUUUAUUCAAAGUAGAUUGUAUAUAUUGUAGUAUAUAUCGCAACAAGUCGCUGCAACACUAGCAAAUUAGCAAUUAGCAAAACAGAUCUUUCGUACAUUCCAUUGUAAAAGAUCCCACGUUGCAAAGCAACUUUAUUCAACCCUUUUUCCUGAUAGCCAAACACAAAUUUCUCCCAAUUUCAUAUAAUUUAGCUUUUACAAAUAAUGUUUUGAUUCCUGUAACCAAAAAUAUUCCGGAAUACUCCCUAUGACGUACCACAAAGGAAUCUAACGGACGGACAUAGAGAAACGGCUAGUACAGCCAACUAUGCUACAACACAUGUCCAACUAAUCUAGAAUUUUUCAAGAGAAUCGUUUUUCUUUGAAGGAGGAACUGAAACGUAUCGAGUUGUGAUAAUUAAGGACGUCGAGAGAUUGAUACCGUUGAUUGAUUAUAUUCUCUCUCGUGUCUUCUCGUCAUCACAUAUCCUUAACCUUUUGUUUUCGUUCUUCUCACCACUCCUUUUACAAAAAAAAAAAAACUUUGCAAAGUUCUUGCAAGGAUAUAGCUUUUGCUCUGUCUAUCUAAUUUGAGGAUAAGGUUCGUCGGUUUCUAGCUGCGAGAAUCCACUGGUAAUAAUUUUUUUUUGGUGAACAAUAAUCCAAUGAUUCGACUAUUAAUUCUCGUUUCAAUCUUCAAACUUCGGAAAAAUCAGAUUCAUAACAUUUGUCAUCAAUCUUUGAAUAUAAUAUACAUAUAUAUACACGGACUAAUUUGAUGAUGGUAUACGUCCCCUAAGUUUCACACUUAAAAUUUUAAUUCAAAACCAAAUACAUAUUAAGAAAAGUCAUUUUUGAUCUUGAACUGAAUCCAUGCAAAUCUUUUGACGUAUGAAAGUAAGUUAUUUUGGCCACAUUUAAAGCAGUGAUUGUAGCCGUCAGAAAAUUGAAAAUCAUAAUCCUAUAAACCAUAAGAUGAAUGCUUUAAGUACUGAUCAGUGAUCACCAUCAACUGGUUAAACAUCGUAAAAACGAAGAAGUUACAUUUGCUAGGCUAUUUUAUGAAAUGAAACAAUAAUAAGACAGAAUGAUUACAUAUAUGUUUAGUGUCUUAAUACUAUAUUCCGAAGAUAUUGUUGGUAAUUGGUAAACAAUCGAUAUAUGCAGUUUCAAAGAUUCUUUCAUUCUCUACAACUAAAAAGCUGAACGUUUUGGAUGGUCGUAGUUUUAUCAUGUAAAGGUGCUGUUUUCUUGUGAAAUACAAGGAACAAAGAGAAAGAGUGAUUCCAUUUUUAUAUAACAAAAAGACAAGAAGAUUCCAUUUUCAAAACAAAAAGAAACGUUUUGUAGGGAAUGUAUAGUAUGAUUUAAUAGUGUCAGCAACAAAUCCGUUGUCGUCCAGCGGUUAGGAUAUCUGGCUUUCACCCAGGAGACCCGGGUUCGAUUCCCGGCAACGGAGCUUUUUACCUCUCUUUUUUUUUUGCGUUAGAAAAAACUUAUAGUGCGUUCUUGGGGUUUAGGUGGUUUUAAUCUGCCGGUUAUGUUGCCGGCACGAGAUAUUUACUUAACAAGUGUUCAAUUAUAAUAAGCCUUUCAUUCUUUUUUUUUAUAGUCUUCGUGAAGAUGAAUCAUUGCAAUGAGGGAUAGUUAGGUAAAAUAUUCACAGAUUGAUAUAUUCAAGAGAAACAUGUCGUCCUCUUCAUGAAGACAAUAACACUUUCUAGAUGAUACACUAUUCACUUUUGUUCCCUGUGACUCUACUUUUGAGAACAUACAAUCAUCAAUUCAAUGAAUGAGUGAUCUGUUUUUCAACUUUCACCAAACCAGCAAGUGAAACACGAUGAACUCAAGGCUUUUGUCUAACGUCGUGAAGUUCGGGAUUUGAACCUGGAAGGUCUCUGCAACGAAAGAGGAAAUAAAAGGUUCAGUUUCAGACAUUUCUCCAGGGAGGUCAGGUGAGUCAAAAAAGAGAGUUUGAAACCGAAGAGAUGUACUUACUGUCAGAGAACUGAACUUGGCUCCUGAACCAGGUGAAGGACCUAAAGAGAAACAGAUAACACAACUUGAGAUUAAGACAAAGACAAACCUCUAUACAAACUGUAUCGUAUUAUGACUUUGUUGUACCUGCAAACUGUGGAGGCGUAGCAGGAUUUGAUGGAGAUGGCGGGCCAAACAAAGAUCCAGAAGCUGGUGGAGCACCGAAAACUAGUCUAACUGGUGUAGCAACGAGAGAAGACGAAGGUGCUGAAGCAGGUGUGUCAGGAAACAAGCCAGCUCCUGACCUUGGUAAGGCUGCAGGUGUUUGUGGAGCAUUUGAAGACCCUGGAGUCGCUGAGUUAUUAAUAAACCCAGUAACUUGUGUUCUUGUACUAGUAGCAACAGGUAGAUGGAGAGUUGGGUGGACCCUCUUAGCAGCAGCUUCCUGUUUCGCUGUUUCCCUUCGAUCAGCCUCAAGAAACGGAUCAUUGCAUUCUCCUCUCCGUCGCUGGUCAGCAAGAUACGCUGUUCUCAUCGAUUCAAUGUACUGGUGAAUAUUCUCUACCUGAAACACAACAAAAUUUAAAACCGCUUACACGUGGUUUCUAAACUGAAGGUUCAGGAUAACAAGUUAGUUACCUUAGCAGCCACAUGAACAAAGAAGGCAUGCACAUUAGACAUGACAUUCGGAAGAGAUUCCAAAACUAAAACAUGUCGAUUAUACUUGUCAGAAUCCAAAGCAAGUAACUGCUCCAGCUCCUCAACCCAUUGCCGGCACUGGCCAAGAUACUUCUCAAAUCUCACAACUGUUUGGAGAAGAAAAGCUGUAGGCUUCUUAGGGAUCCCACGGUAAAAGUAAGAAACUUGAACUGCUUGUUGUUCACCAGAGGAAGCUGGAGCUGAGUUAACUCCCUGCGCCUGAGGUUGCUGAGAAUCACCACCACUAACAACAACAGCUCCUCUUCCUCCUCCUCCUCCUGGUUUAGAACGUCGGGAUCUUGGCUGUAGCAUCAUGAAAGACCCAACAGCAACCUCUGAGUUACGAAACAUAUCUUUAACAGCCAACAUAAGCUCGUGGAGAACAGCUUUCUGUCUGUCCAUGGUAGUAUUAAUCCCACCAAGCUCCUACAAGUUUUAUAAAAGACUGAGAUAACUCACAAGAACAGUUCCUAUAUGAUAAUUAAGUGAAUCAUAAUCAUCUAAGAAACCUGAACAAUGCGGCUUGCAUCAAACCCAAAGCCUUCACUGGAUAGAGACAAAUCGUCAAGACGAUUGCAUUGAUCUAACCUCUGGCUUUCACUACUGUACUCCAGUAUCUUCUUUCUAAGGAUAUUCACACAAACAAUAAGAUCAAGGUAUCAUCAAAAGAUUCUAAAUCUAACGAACUACGUUCUUCAAGAUUUUGGCAAUUGAACAAAGAAGAGCAAUACUCAAUCUCAAGGAGAAGUUUCUGAGAAUCGGGAUGAAGAUCAGUCCAUUCGGUGCUGUAACUCGCCGGAGCUUGAUCGUUCGUGAACAAAUACAGCUGCUGCUGCUGGAACUGUUGCGGCUGAAACGACGGUGGUUGCUGUUGCUGCGGUUGCGGAUGAGAGAAGAAGGAGAUGCUCUGCGGCUGAGGCGUCUGUUGCGGAGUCUGAAACGGUGAUUGAGGUGUCUGCUGAUGUCGCUGUGGGGUAGAGAAUGGAUUGAACGACGACAUUGCUGGAUGAUCGACGGCUAACGGAAUCUAGGGUUCGUAUAUCGCCGGCGAGGACUUUGGAGUCGAGGGAAAGAUAUUCAAAAGCCCUCUUUAAACAACUGGAGGGAAAAUAUAUAAAUUAGUAUUUAAUGGCUUUAAUUCACGUUUUUAACAAACUGGAGGGCUCUUUUGCAAAUAAAGAAAUAUCUAAUGAACUGUCAACUAAAACAAAACUGUAAUGGCAUUGAAGAAGAAGCACACGAGGAUUUUGGAAUCUUUAACGAGUUUUAUUUUCUCUGUGGCUGCUUCUUGGCCCCGGUGACAAGUCGGAGAGCUUGGCUGGAGUUGUUGAGGAUUGAAGAUGAUCUAGGGACUUGUGCUUUACGCUUCUUUAAGAAAUCUAACCCUGUUUUCAAGCAUUCUGGUGGUGGAAUCUCCUUGUAUAACGUCUCAAUACUGCCACACACACACACACACACACAAGAGAGAGACAAUGACAUCAAAUCAAAUCAAAGAGUGGUUAUAGAGUUUGUAAGAACCACGAAGAUGAUCAUUACCCUGAGCUCUUUCGCUUUUUCUUUCUCGGGUGGUCUUUGUUGGCCUCCUCUUCUUCAGAAUCCGAACUGUUUUUCUGUCUGUAAACGAGAGAAAUUGUCAAUCUUAAGUCCAUUUUUCUUUAAGCACAAGGAAAAGGGAUAUAGAGUUUAUAUUACUUCUCCCGCUGUGCAAGAAAGUCAAUGAUGUUUUUGGAAAGGAACCCCUUGUUUGCCAGAGCUUCAGGGUCUUCCUCAUGCUCUUCUUCCUCUUCUAUAUCUUCGAAAGUUUCAACCUUUCGUGGUUUCCUUGGCGUUAUCUUCUCUGCUAAACGCCUUCGACUCUCUUUCUUCUCGCGGGCAACCCUACAGAAGAGAAAGCAAUCUCAUUUAAGUAAUCUAUAGAUUUCUAACUGAACAAAUUCCACAAAAAAAGAGCAAAGUACUAAUCUUUCAAGACAGUUACAUCUUCCUCCAUCAACUCCUAACCCAACACAAGCUUCAAAAGAGGGAAGGUGGUGAGAAUACAAACCUAGCCUUAUUCUCUCUCUCUAUCUUCCUCAAGGCUGCAUCUUCCAACUGUGCCUGAAAAAAAAAAGCAAAACCCAUUAGACGCUAAGCUAAUGCAAUUUCGACUUUACUGUUUCAGCUUAAUCCACAUAAAGACGGAAACAAUACCUGUUCCUCUGUGAAUUCCUCCGGUGCGCCGUCUGAGUCUGAGUCGGAGAUGUGGUCUUUGUUAUCUGACAUCUGAUUAUUAUCUUCUUCUUCUUCACCGGUGCUUUCUUCUCCGUCAGACGACGACACACACUAGGGUUUAACGGCUCUGCAAUUUCUCAAAAACAGACGAUUUCGAUUCUGAGAGUUAAUUAGUUGUUUUUCUCCUUUAUGGUGGAUUGCUAUUGGGCCCUUGUUACAGCUUUUGUAAGCCCAUUCAUUAAUCAAGCAACCAAAACUAGUUAUUCGAUUUAAAAUAACAACAGCUGGAAUAGCUCAGUUGGUUAGAGCGUGUGGCUGUUAACCACAAGGUCGGAGGUUCGACCCCUCCUUCUAGCGUUCUUUUUUAUGUUUCCUUCUAGUAUUUUUUUGUUUUUGUUUCAUUUCAUAGUUACCCAAAUCUGUUGAGUUUCACAUCUGGUAGAAUACUCACCUAGACACAUUAAUCCUCUAUGAAAUCAAGAGAGAGAGAGAGAGAGUUCUUGUUUGUUACAUGGAGAUCACACUCACAUUUUUUCUUUCUUGAAUACUGUCAUCCUACUGUCAAAAGUCGUUCAAAAAAAGAAUAGUGUCAUACUACUGUCAUCCUAAACAAUGAAGUAUUAUUGUGUGAAUCUGGACUAUAUACUUCUGUGUCUUCCUACAUAUUAAAUACUUUAGUACGUAACUUUCACAUGAAAGAAGUUUAAAGGCAAAAAAAAGAAGGUUAUAUACUAUCAAGCUGGCCCAAACACCCACAUGGUAUGAGACAAGAAUGCUAUCAGCAAAAAUGGCAAGAGACAAGAAAAAAACAAAUGAGACAAAAUCUACUCUAAAUUGUAUGAACAAAUAAAUGGUGUACACAUAUAAUAACAUUGCAGAUAAAACAAAUGAGACAAAGUCUAGUCUAAAAACAAAUAAAUGGUGUACACAUAUAUAUAGCAUUGUAGAUAAAAUCAAUUGAGAAUAAAUUGCUAUCACUCUAUAGUUUAUUCACUUUAUUGUAAAGAACACAAACAUAUGACUAUAUAUCUACUCUCAGCCAACCAAUAACAAAUUUUAACUUUUGCUCUACUUUACACUCUCCAACCCAAAUCUAUACAAGGUUCCACUUCCACAUUUUUGAAACAUUAUUAUCAUUACAAAUCAUCAAACCUUUUUUUCAUUGAUGCAAAAGCAACCUGAAACUGAAGUCAUAUGGUACUACUUGAACCAACUCCAUGAGUGAUUCUUCGUUCUUUCUUUCCACACACUUCAGAGCUUCUUCUCUGAGUUUAUCAGGCAACUGAAGGCAAACCCAAUCUAACAAAGAUUCCACAUCUUUUGCAAAAUCUAGCAAAUACCAAUCUAAUACCUUUGGAAUCAUUAGUUUGUUCCUCUUUGAGAUCCAUACAGAUGCUUGAAGAUAAUCCCUCUUUGCAGCUUCUAGCUCUUUUUCUACACUUGUUGCUGUAUAAAUCCUUACCUUAAUACCAAAAACAAGUUGUGUGUGAAAAUGCUAUAAACUUUUCCAAAUUUGAGUGUGUAUGAUUCUAAAGCACAACUUACAGCAGGAGAAGACCAGCUUCCACAGGAGAGAGCAAAAGUGACCAAAGGUUCUGACCAUUCCAAUCCAAAUGUGCUAUGAGCUUUCAUCUCUUCAUGUGUUGCAGUUUUGGGACAAUUCUUUUUAAGAGAAUAAGAUAAUAAGCAUUAAAUUCGGAGUCAGCAUAGAAAAAUGAAAGAGAAGAAGAUAAAAGAAACUUACAAACUUUAAGUGAUAUGGAAGUCUCAAGAUGAAGUGUUCAAUUGUGAUAGCAUUAAGUGAGUGUCCUCCUACAACUAUUAUUGCCUGACACAAGAAAGAGAAGAUGAAUCUAAGAAACAGGUAACACACAUUUAAGCACAAUGGUUUCAAGUUUCGGUUUUAGAGUAUAAACCUUUUGCAUAAGGGCAACAACCAUCUCAGGGGUCUGAGGGAUCCCAUGCUCCAAGAAACCCUGCGAAGAUUAAUUGCAAACAAGACAUCAGCCUUCUUUAACAACAUCUUACAAACAUGUCUUUCUAUCUAUCAUACUAAGAAGUCUCACAUUCAUCACACAUGAGUUAUAAGUAUUUAUCCAGAAUGCAAGCUUCUGCUGGUGGCUAAGACCGUCUAGAUUUACACCUGAAAGCUUAUUAAGCAGGAACCUGUAGAUAGGAACAGUUACACAAACAUGAGUUUAGAGUAUUCAAUUUUAAUCAUUCUAAGAAGACUUUCACAGUUUCAUGUCAUUUGUUUAGGCGAGAUGAGAUACUUACUUGAGACGAUGGAUCAGAAAUAAAGCAUUGAUUCUUCUCCCAAGAUCAAUGGAAGAUGCAUCAACAGAGCAAAGAUUCUUGUAUGCACCAAGCUCUCUUGUUCUCCAUUCUGAACAGUUACUAUAUGGAUCCAACACAAUGUCCUUGGACGAGAUAAUCCUCAAGAUAAUACUCACCAGGCAUCUCAGUAAAUCCUCUGAAACUCUGUUUGCUGCAGUUCCACUUUGCAGCGGUUCCGAGACACUCUCAUGUGCCUUGUCUUGGUCUGCUAAUCUAUCAUCUAGCUUAUUCAAAGUUUUCUUAAGUCUCUUCUCAGGUGAUUCUUUGUCCUUCUUGUCUUUUAAACCGUUACUAGAGGUCUGAUUCUCUUUCCCUCUCACAUCAACUGGCUUAGUAACAACACUGCUUACAUUUGGUUUAGGCGAUGCUUGUUUGUCAUUAACUGUCUGAUCAGAGGAGAAGAGUUUCCUACUUGAGAUGCUUCUGCUAGGACUAAGAGACUGUUGAUGCUUUUUAGGAGGAGUGAUCAUAGAUUUCAACUCAUGUUGUGACUUGGAUUUAGAUCUCUGGUGUUUAGUGCUUCUAACGGGAGAAUUCUCGUUCAGACCGUUACUCUUGGAAGAAAUGUAAACAGCUUCUUGGUAUAGACCUUGUCUGAAGCUAACAACUUGCUCUUCUAACCGAACUACUUCCUCUUCAAGAACAGCUACUUCAGCAAGAAGCUCCAGUGUCUUUAUCAGAUAAAGAAACAAGAUUCAGAUACAAAGAAGCUCCAGUUUGAUGAUAUUAAUAUUUUGGAUCUUACAUGUCGAGGGAGAUAAGAGGGAAGACGAGGUAAAGCUCCUAAAGGUCUAGUGAAAGCUCUCUCCAAUGCUCUAUGCACAUUCUCCUCUUGUCUCAGCUUCCUCUUUAGCUUAUCAACCUGAUCACAAAAAAAAAAAAAAUUAGAUGCGAUUCAUCAUCAAAUCAAGAAAGUUGUUUCUCAAGAACUUGUCAUCAUACAUCUUGUAGCAAAUCCAUUUUCUUUUCUUUGUUAGCUCUGCGCCGAUUAGCUAAAGUUUCAUUGCCUUGGGACACCAUCUUCUUCUUCUUUUCCUCCUUUGCGGAUUUCAGAAUACCACCAAACAUUACUCAUAUAGAACAAAAAGGAGUUUGUAAAGAAACUAUUGAUAGUGGAAAACAACAAACAAUCUUCUAGAUAACAAUUGAGUAUCUAUCACUUUCAAUGUGACCAGUAACUUCACUAAGAAUAACUAUUCUAUUAGUAGGAUAGAAAAUAAGCAAAGAUUUUGUUGUGAAAUAGUCCAAUGUUGAAGCCAAGAAUCUUAAAGAGAUCACCAAGAAAGCAAUCAAAAUUGGGUUCAGAAGAAUGGAAAGUGGUAGAGAGAGAGAAAGAAGAAAAGUUACUUGAGUGGUGACAUGCUUCGAAGGAGCUUUCAUGGAGGAAAAACCAGCUCGAACACUAGUGUUCAUCGCUUAUCUUUCUCUCUCUCUCUCUCUCUCUUCAACUAUUGCUUUCUCUCUACUCUAACUGUGAUAUAAACCCAAGAGAGAGAGAGAGAGAGACCACAUCAAGAUAAAAAAAAAAACAAAACAUAGAGACAGAAGUAAAAAGAAAGAUAAGAGUUAAAUGUUUUAAGUAUGUGUCUGUAAUAAAAAGUGUAGUACUAGCUCUUUGAUAUAUGAAGACAGAGCGGGGAAACUUGAAGGUAAAGCGACCAAGAAGAAGCAGAGAAUUGGUUUUAGUUGAAGCUUUGUGUUUCCCAAAGAACUACCAUUGUUUUUUAUUUAAUCCAUAUAAUGUAUAGUUGUUGUAUGUAUAGAUGACUUUGGUCAUAUAAUCUCGAACAGAGCAAGGAAGAAAGUCAAGACACCACAGAAUCUCUCAUUGGAUGUGAAGAAGUAGUAGAUAACGACUUGAUAUCAACCAUUUAUGAUGUCUUUAGAUUUAGAAAUUGUGAGAAAUGAAAAGUAUACUUUCUAGGAGUUGAAUGAAGGAUGUAAGAUCUGAGUUAGUGAGGAGUUCUUGAGCUAGCUGGUUGGAAAUUGUGAGAGAUGUGGACAACCAUAAAGAAACGACUUCUUUUGUCACUUAUUAAUUAAAAUUUGGUAUUUAGUGGCUUGGUGCUUUCGUUUUCUCUCAAUCUUUUCAGUUCUUUCAUUUAUUUCAUUUCAGUAGAUUUUUUUUAAAUGAAUAAUAUAAUGGUCCCAAAUAGAAUGAUUUAUUUAUUUUUUAAUUAAAAACCUAUUUGUGAAUUUUGCUUUACAUUUCUAAAUCUGAAAUGCAUCAUUUCAAAGUCAAUCUCAUUUGCUAAUUAGUUUAACUGGAGCCGAGCUUAUAAAUAACCAAUUGAUUAUGGACUAUAUUUAACGUUUAAGUAAUUGAUUUGUAAUAAGUUAUGCAGGCUGCCUGUACUUAAAUACAAGUGUGUUUUCAGAGUUAAAUUAUGAUGCCUUUUAGAGAAAGCAAAGAUAACGUGCUUAUUAAUUAUGAUGUUAGAAGAAAAUAAAUAAAAAGGUAAAAACUCUAAAGGUGCUGACAUCUCCCUAGUAUAACCUUUUUAACAUUUGAUUAUUUUUCUUGAUCAAACAUUUGAUUUUUCAUUUCUCGCUUCUUCUGCUGUCAAAACGGGUGAUUCGCAUCAAAAAGGAGAGUGGUAGUAUGUUAUUAUACCAUCAAUAAUUUGAUUAUUUUAAUCAACUAACAACGCUGUUAUAUAAUUAUUAAUUAAUGAUAAGAAAAGAACCAGUGGAUUAGGUAUAAAUUAUGAACGUAAGUAAAUGAUACUUUGGCAGAUUCAAUCAAGCAUUAGCACGUGACAAAGCUAACUUCGCUUUAUAACUCAUACUUCCACUUUCAAGUGGACCAACCAUUCUCUAUGUAUGCAUAUAGUACAUAAUUUAACUUCCUUCCAUGUUAUCACAUUCUAGUGACACAAUUCUAUGUUUUUAUACCAAAAAAAUGGGCGUAUGUUUUACGGUUAUCUGCUUGUUCAGCUUAUCUCGUUAAUUCCUUUGUAACAAUAUGCCAUUGCCAGCUCAGCUGUUGUUAACCCAUAUAAGCAUGGCUCUAAAAGAAUGAAUACUAUUUUUAAUGGGUAUAGUUAAUAACUAGAUAGCAUGUACACUACAAAAGGUCGACGUCUUUAUUUCCCAAUAUGUAAAUCACAUCUUUCACAUAUAUUAUUAUGUCCAUUUCCAUUUAAAUCGAAUAUUUGAAAUGUAGCUAAUAAACUCAUCCGAGAUAAGAACAAUGACAACUCAUUUACAAAUUAUAAUCAUUACCACUACAAUCAUUCUUGUAUGAUCAUAACAUGCUAUUUGUAGACCUAAUAAAUAUAUUAGAUAACACAUAAUUGUUUGCCUCUUGCCUCUUCUCAUCACAUGCCAUCAAUGGAUCUAUGUGGUGCUGAUAGUAACGUAUAACCAUGACGUCUCAUAAAAGGAUCCUAACGCAAUCAAAAACAUAAACUUGCUCAUGUGAAUUUGUAAUUACGUAUAAGGUAACAUUUUGGACCUAUAUAGCUCCUUUUCCCUUUCUCUGUAUUGUUACCACAAUUAUACACAUCAAGUCAGCUCAUAUCCAUUGAUCGGUCCCCAAGUUUUCAAUGAUUGGUCAAUUUUUUCUUCAUUUUGAUAGCCAUUGUGGUCCAAUAAGACAAGUGAAUAGGGUCCAACUAGGGCUAACGUACGUGGUAAAUCGCAUGUUCACUAUCACUUAUGAGCGCAUGCAAGUGAAAGUACAUGUCAAAACAUUACGCCAUAUAUAUACACUUGUUUAUAUUUUCUUUUUGUCAAUGACAAUAUAUAUAUACUGUGCUAUAUACAAAACAAAUAGCCUUUUUAUCGACAGCAUAUUUUGUCAAAAACUGUUUGUUUUGUAUCAUUAGGAUUUAGUCAGCCUAAAGAGUGUUUUUGUGUCAGAUUUUUUUUUCUGAUAAAACAUUAAGGUUACAACUAGAAUACAACAUACAUGGUAAGUAGCUUCGUUAAAAAUGUACAUGCAAACCAAAACUACUUAAUUGGUUAUACCAAUGCAAUGUUCUAAACUCAGUAUAGUCAGCGCCUAAACGAUUUUAUUUUUAAAAUGGUUACAGAUGGCACAUUUCCAAAAUCAGUAUAGACAGCGUUUAAAGACUACUCUUCUAUAAAAGGCCUAAUCACCAUUUAGCAACUUUUUAAAACAUUGGAACAUAUACAAUAAAGAAGUUCAAGGUCUCCUAAACCAAUACUACUUAAUUUGCAAAGGUUCUGUGAGAAGAAAUGAACUUCAGAGAAUCAAGAUCUCCUAAACUCUAAACUCUAAAUGUGAUUUUUUGGCUCGUACCUAAAGUAAUCUGUAACAGAGAUUCACUAUACUUUGCGAGCAAAAGAAUAAUUGAAUAUGAAUAUGAUUUUCAUACAUACAAUUUGACUUUGUAUUCCACUUUAAUAAAGAUCAAUAUGAGACAUAUUUGGGAAUCAAAUUUCUAACAGUUGGUUAAUAUCUCAGCUCCAUGUUUGGUUAUAAGAAUGGUAUGCUCGAACUGCGCAGAGAGACUUGCAUCUUCUGUUAUCACGGUCCAAUCAUCAUCCCACAUAACCGGUUUUAUGCUUCCUACCGUAAGCAUCGGUUCUAUGGUGAAGGUUUGAUUCAACACCAUGCGUCCAGCUUCAUUGUUCCCUGUAGAGCAGAUGCAAGUUUAGAAAGUAUGUGAAUGACCACAAAGCAAUUCAACAAGAACAAACUUACGGAAGUGAAGAACAACAGGAUCAGAAUGGAAGACACGUCCAAUACCAUGGCCUACAAACUGUCUAACAACUCCAUACUUAUGUUUAUCUGCAUGAUCACUUGAUAAAGAUAUGAUUUUUCAAUAUGAAGUAGAUGAAUAAACAAAUACUAAUUGCUCAAAGGGAAUCAGUCUCUUACUGAAUGGUUUUGCCGAUUUUCUUGUACUUUACUCCAGCUCCACAUAUUGAUAUCGCUUUGUCUAGAGACUCCUUUGUCACCUACACCACACUCAAAGUCAUAAAACUCUCAUCAAACUAUUAUUAUAAACCAGAGUUUUCAUAGAACUGAUUGUACCUGGACUAGCUUUUUAGCUUUCUCGUCGACAUCUCCACAGAAGAAAGUAGCUGAAGUGUAACGGCCCGGUUCCUAGCCCAAAAAUUUAUUAAGGAGAGCCCGUUAAGACUGCAGUCCAUUAGGGUAAAUGACCUAGGGUUUCCUCCUUUUCCUAUAAAUGAAGCUGCCUCCUCUCACUUUUCUCUCAUCCUGAAACCUAAGCGAAGCUCUGCAGAGAUUUAGAGAGACUAGGAAACCCUAGCCGUCAAGCUUCUCUUUUCCUCUUCUCUCUUCUUCUCUCAAGCCUCUCUCUCUCUCCCCUGCGCCGUGUCUCUCUCUCUCUCCUUCUCUCUCUCUCUCCUUCUCUCUCUCCUCUCUCCCUCCUCCUCGCCGGUGUCAUGUGGUGGUGGUGGUUGCAGCCGAUUGGUGGUGGUGGUCAGAUCUCGCAGCUCUUUUGUUUCCUUGUUCCAGAUCUGUUCAGAUCUCCUCUCCCUUGCCUCUUGUUCCAGAUCCAGAUCUAGGCUAAGGUGGAGUGUUUCAAACCCAACCUUCUUUCAUGGUCCUGUAUACUCCUAUAUGUUGGGGUUAGGUUUGAUUAGACCCUGUUUGGGAGUUAGGUUGAUAGUACAUGGUAUUGCUAGGAUGAUAGAUGAAUGGAUCAUGAUGCAUAAGAACCCUCAUAUUGAUAAAUGGGACUUGAUGAACUGAAUUGAAUUGUUGUGGUAAUGGCUGAUUGGUAGUUGAUUCUUGUAUGUUUGGUUGUGUUGUCCCAUGUGUGGUUGUGAUUGAAGUUAGGAUGCUAGAGAGAAAUAAAUGCUAGGAUGAUAGAUGAGCAAUGAUUAUAAAAGUUAUUGAAGUAGAACUUGAAUGCAAUGUGUAUUGUGUGACACCGAUAACGGGUGGCGUCUAGUGAUUGAGUCCAAGUACAAGUAGGAAUGAAAAGGGAAGUAAUUGGGAAUGGGAAGGGUUAGGUGAAAACGAUAAGGAAGUGAAAGGAUAAGUAAAAGUAUGAAAGAAUGUUGUUAAGGUUAAGCAUGGGUGGGAAAGCAUAUAGAGAGUCUAAGGAAAGUAGGUGGGGUAAGUAGUCCACGCUAGGUAUCCAUAGGAGAUGUGGCGAAUCCACAUGAAUAUGGAAGCACCCAUAGGAGAUGUGGCCAAUCCACAUGAAUAUGGGGUAGAAGCCUAGUGGGGGGCUACCCACUGAGGAAAAGAGGAAAAGAUGAAAAGAUGAAAAGAUGAAAAGGAUAUGCAUUGUAGGGUUCUAGCUCAUGGUCGGGUACAGGAAGUUAAAGAAGUCAUAGGAUCGAGUCGGACUGGUAAGAUGAGUCGGUUAAGUCUAGGGAUGGCGUGUGUGGCAAUGAGUGAGAUCAUUGUAUUGAUUGAUUACUAGGUUGUUAGAAAUGAAUGGAAGUGUGUGUAGAAAUUACAGAUGGUGAUAGGAAAUGAUAAAAUGCAUUAACGGAUUGUAGUGGCUAGUCAGUCCUAGUUCCCGCAUAGAGUAGUAUAGAGUGUCGUGCGGGCAGGCUGGUCUAGAGCCACUUCACUGAGUAACUUGUUGCUCACCCCCUCCAUUUCCAUUUUUUCCCUGUGCGCAGGACUGUAAGUAGAAGUAUAUGGAUGUGGGUGUGACGGUAUUUCAAAGAAGGUUAUGCGCUCGUCUCUCGGGACCAGUAACGGGACACGUAGGGUUGUCUAAAUGAGUAGACACGUGUCCAUAACGCCCCUUCGAUAACCCCGGUCGGACGCCGGGGGAUCGGGCUGUUACAAUUGGUAUCAGAGCGGGUUAAGAUCCCUUAGUUCCGUCCUAAGGGAUCAGCAUUUCCGACGUUUAAAAAAAAAAAAAAAAUUGUUUUCAUUAAAAGAAAAGAGUUUGUGAAAGUUUUGAUUCUCCUAAAAGUUCUGAAAACGAUUUCAAAACCACCCACUAUAUUUAUACUUCUAGUAUGGUUCUGAUCGGAUGUCUACUUGAAGGAUGUCUUCGACAAUCAGUAACGACCAGAGUGACAAUUACGGGUAUCGUGGACCUGCAUGGUGGAACUCGAUCUACACUCGGACUCAGCGCACCAUAAAGGAAAAUGUGGUACCCUAUCGGUGACGCCCAUUGACGAAGUUUCAUCGCCAGACACAUGAGUUGGAGUGGUUGGAGAAAAACCAGAGAUGGAAACCCGACUAAUGUAACUACCGAGAACGUGAAGGUUGUGGCGGAUAUCAUGGGUUUAGAGGAACAUUAGAGGUGCAAUGAAACAAGAUGAAGUCAUAGGUCAAUGAAGGUAUUUUCCGAGGAAGGACAUAUAUCUAAUGGAGGGCUAGUUCUAGGAUAUCCGCCAGAGAGACAUGAUUGGAAGGGAAUACAAUAAGGAUGUAACCCCUGAGGAGAUUUAUCGGGCUACCUGGAUAGGACCGAGGGAGUAUAGAGAAUGAUAACCAUGGGAGUGUAUGUGGUACUGUUAAUACCUCUCGACGGUGUGAACCUGCAUGGAGACCUGCUGGAGUUGGAGUUUGGAAUGAUAUGAAGUGACAGAAUUUUGGGAUGCGUAUUUAGAGAUGUAGCAGUGUUCGGGGAUGUUGCAGUAUGUUAGGAAUAGUAUCAUGGCUUAGCGAGAAUCUAUACAGAGGUCAAAGAUUAAUGAAUAGGAAGGGAGCUAGGAAAGAAGACCGGGGCCAAGCACAUGGAGUUAAUAUAUUGUAUUGGCACGUACUCAUAAUCCUCGAUAGGAGAGGAGAGUAGUCCUUAAUGGAAUAAGGAUUAGGACAUGGAUAUAAGCUAUCUUGAUGUUGAAAGCUGAAGGGUUAAGUGGAAAGGAAAAUGAUUUGUAUUUGGAAGUGAAAGCUCUAAGUAUUGGAUAUCCCCUAUGAGAACUAUAUGAACAAUCAUGUUGAAUCCCUUAUGCUGGACCAAAGUGGGGGAGAUCAGAAUCUCGAGCCUGAGAUGAUCCAUGAAACCGCUUAGCAGAUAUAAUUGUUGAUGAUGAGCUGCUUUAUUAAAGGAUAGAAGAGGUACAUGACCAUCAGAGAAUUACGUCGACAAGAGUGGUGGUGAUAUGGAAAUGCAUAUGAGAAGGAAGCAAUCUAGGGAUGAGAACGCUGUUGGGGAAUCGAUUUGGGAUUUAAGAGGACGUUGGAUCUCCGUGAGGAAUAUGGAACCUGGUCUGUUGCAUGAACUAUUAGAUUUCAAAGGACGAGUUGUUUACCCAUUUUGGUUCGGGAUGUUAAAGUUGGAGUAUCGACACACGGAAUUCGGGGACGAAUUCCAUUCAAGUGGGGGAGAAUUGUAACGGCCCGGUUCCUAGCCCAAAAAUUUAUUAAGGAGAGCCCGUUAAGACUGCAGUCCAUUAGGGUAAAUGACCUAGGGUUUCCUCCUUUUCCUAUAAAUGAAGCUGCCUCCUCUCACUUUUCUCUCAUCCUGAAACCUAAGCGAAGCUCUGCAGAGAUUUAGAGAGACUAGGAAACCCUAGCCGUCAAGCUUCUCUUUUCCUUUUCUCUCUUCUUCUCUCAAGCCUCUCUCUCUCCCCUGCGCCGUGUCUCUCUCUCUCCUUCUCUCUCUCUCUCCUUCUCUCUCUCCUCUCUCCCUCCUCCUCGCCGGUGUCAUGUGGUGGUGGUGGUUGCAGCCGAUUGGUGGUGGUGGUCAGAUCUCGCAGCUCUUUUGUUUCCUUGUUCCAGAUCUGUUCAGAUCUCCUCUCCCUUGCCUCUUGUUCCACAUCCAGAUCUAGGCUAAGGUGGAGUGUUUCGAACCCAACCUUCUUUCAUGGUCCUGUAUACUCCUAUAUGUUGGGGUUAGGUUUGAUUAGACCCUGUUUGGGAGUUAGGUUGAUAGUACAUGGUAUUGCUAGGAUGAUAGAUGAAUGGAUCAUGAUGCAUAAGAACCCUCAUAUUGAUAAAUGGGACUUGAUGAACUGAAUUGAAUUGUUGUGGUAAUGGCUGAUUGGUAGUUGAUUCUUGUAUGUUUGGUUGUGUUGUCCCAUGUGUGGUUGUGAUUGAAGUUAGGAUGCUAGAGAGAAAUAAAUGCUAGGAUGAUAGAUGAGCAAUGAUUAUAAAAGUUAUUGAAGUAGAACUUGAAUGCAAUGUGUAUUGUGUGACACCGAUAACGGGUGGCGUCUAGUGAUUGAGUCCAAGUACAAGUAGGAAUGAAAAGGGAAGUAAUUGGGAAUGGGAAGGGUUAGGUAAAAACGAUAAGGAAGUGAAAGGAUAAGUAAAAGUAUGAAAGAAUGUUGUUAAGGUUAAGCAUGGGUGGGAAAGCAUAUAGAGAGUCUAAGGAAAGUAGGUGGGGUAAGUAGUCCACGCUAGGUAUCCAUAGGAUAUGUGGCGAAUCCACAUGAAUAUGGAAGCACCCAUAGGAGAUGUGGCCAAUCCACAUGAAUAUGGGGUAGAAGCCUAGUGGGGGGCUACCCACUGAGGAAAAGAGGAAAAGAGGAAAAGAUGAAAAGAUGAAAAGAUGAAAAGGAUAUGCAUUGUAGGGUUCUAGCUCAUGGUCGGGUACAGGAAGUUAAAGAAGUCAUAGGAUCGAGUCGGACUGGUAAGAUGAGUCGGUUAAGUCUAGGGAUGGCGUGUGUGGCAAUGAGUGAGAUCAUUGUAUUGAUUGAUUACUAGGUUGUUAGAAAUGAAUGGAAGUGUGUGUAGAAAUUACAGAUGGUGAUAGGAAAUGAUAAAAUGCAUUAACGGAUUGUAGUGGCUAGUCAGUCCUAGUUCCCGCAUAGAGUAGUAUAGAGUGUCGUGCGGGCAGGCUGGUCUAGAGCCACUUCACUGAGUAACUUGUUGCUCACCCCCUCAAUUUCCAUUUUUUCCCUGUGCGCAGGACUGUAAGUAGAAGUAUAUGGAUGUGGGUGUGACGGUAUUUCAAAGAAGGUUAUGCGCUCGUCUCUCGGGACCAGUAACGGGACACGUAGGAAUGUCUAAAUGAGUAGACACGUGUCCAUAACGCCCCUUCGAUAACCCCGGUCGGACGCCGGGGGAUCGGGCUGUUACAUGAAGUAUCACCGUUAUAACCCUGUAGAGACCAAUACAACAAGCAUCAGAGAGUAAACCUAGUGAAGGAUUGUGAAACACGCAAAAGAAGACAACUUACGUUUAAGUAAACCGUGACAUCAAUGUUGAUUAUAUCUCCAUCCUGCAAAGUUCAAACAUGGAUACAACAUUUUAUUAACGAUUCACAAGUAAAAGACACUCAAACACACACACAAACACACCUCAAGUGGUCGUGAAUCAGGGAUGCCAUGGCAAAUGCAUUAUGCAUUCACUGACAGAAGUGCAAACACUUUUAGGGAAACCUCCAUAGCCAAGUGGAGAAGGAUAAGCUCCAUUCUCUAUAAUCAUACUGUGAACCGCUUCAUCAAUCUCAUCCGUGGUUACACCUGGCUGUCUCUCAAAACAGAAAACAAAACAAAACUGAUGAUUGUUCUGUAAGAGUGGGAAAACAAUUAAAAGUAUCCGCAAAAAAAAAACAAAAAAAAAACACAUUUCAUAAAAAAACACAUUUUUCGGUCAAACCAAUAAAACCGCACUCUUCGACCAAAACGGUAAAAACGAACUUUCAUGUCAAAAUCGUAAAAACGCAUUUUCCCGGCAAACCGCAAAAUAGCAAAAAUGCAUUUUCCUGCCAAAACCGCAAAAACACAUAUUCUCGCAAAAACAGAAAAAACGCAUAUCUCGCCAAAACCGCAAAAAUGCAUUUUUCCGCCAAAACCGCAAAAAACGCAUUUUUCCGCCAAAACCGCAAAAUACAUUUUUUCUCCAAAAUCGGAAAACAUAUUUUCCCGCCAAAACCGGAAAAAACAAUUUUCCACCAAAACCGGUAAACGCAAUUUUCCCGCCUAAACCGAAAAACGCAAUUUUCCCGCCAAAAUCGAAAAAAAACAGUUUCCCGCCAAAACCACAAAAAUGCAUGUUCCCGCCAAAACAUGCAAAACCGUAUUUUCCUGUCAAAACCACAAAAAUGCAUUUUUCGUGAAAACACAUUUUCGGCAAAAACUGCAAAAAAAUAUUUUCUGCCGAAAACGCAAAAAUACAAUUUUUCCGUUAAAAAUGUAGCAAUGCACAUUUUCUAUCAAAAGCGCGAAAAUGCAUUUUUCUGCCAAAACCAUAAAAAUGUUAUUUUUCUAUCAAAACCUAAAAAAUAUAUUUUAAUCAUUUUAUUAA
rnacentral:lncRNA from 1 species